rnacentral:lncRNA from 1 species
AAUCCAUAAUCUCUAAAAAGAGAUGGCCGAAAUUCAGAACUAGAGAACCAUAAAUAGAAUCCACUAGAAAGUGUCUCGUUGUCGUAGGAUUGAAAAUAAAUAAAACAUUGUGCUGCUGAUCCUUUUUUUUUUUUUUUUUUUUUGCAUUAUACUUAACAAAUUUACAAUGUCAAACAACAAACUGGCAGCUGGAAAGGGGAAAAUGACUACUAAAAAAUCAACACUAUUUCAACUAAACCUAUACCCCAACCAAGCAAAACCAAAUGCACACUGAUAAUACCUUGAAGUAUAAAAAUAAGGAACCAAGCAGAUGCAACAAAUGUAACAUCAUUUCAAUAGCAAAAACGAAAACUGACAUUUGGUUCAAAAAUAUUAGAGGAAGUAUAGGUCAUAGUGUGUGAUAUGCAAAAGUGCUAGUAAUUCAAAUUUCCAACAUGCUCAGCAAAUCUCUAACUUUUCAGAAGUAAUUAAAUUGAAACUAAUAGAUGUUUCUUCUGCAUACUAAAUAUUGAAGAUUCGCUACGAAGAAUGAAUCCGUAACUUACUUAGGUUUCAAAGUGGACUACACAAUCCAUUAAUCUAAACAGAACUGUCCCAGCAAAGCAAACAAUUUAAUCUCAUUCCUCCAGAAAUGGCAUGUUUUAUUACUUCAACAACAACAACAAAGCCUUUUCCCACUAAGUGGGGUCGGCUAUAUGAAUCCUAGAACGCCAUUGCGCUCGGUUUUGUGUCAUGUCCUCCGUUAGAUCCAAGUACUCUAAGCCUUUUCUUAGAGUCUCUUCCAAAGUUUUCCUAGGUCUUCCUCUACCCCUUCGGCCCUGAACCUCUGUCCCGUAGUCACAUCUUCGAACCGGAGCGUCAGUCGGCCUUCUUUGCACAUGUCCAAAUCACCGGAACCGAUUUUCUCUCAUCUUUCCUUCAAUUUCGACUACUCCUACUUUACCUCGGAUAUCCUCAUUCUCAAUCUUAUCCUUUCUCGUGUGCCCACACAUCCUACGAAGCAUCCUCAUCUCCGCUACACCCAUUUUGUGUACGUGUUGAUGUUUCACCGCCCAACAUUCUGUGCCAUACAACAUCGCUAGCCUUAAUGUCGUCCUAUAAAAUUUUCCCUUGAGCUUCAGUGGCCUACGACGGUCACACAACACGCCGGAUGCACUCUUACACUUCAUCCAUCCAGCUCGUAUUCUAUGGUUGAGAUCUCCAUCUAAUUCUCCGUUCUCUUGCAAGAUAGAUCCUAGGUAGCGAAAACGGUAGCUUUUGUGAUCUUCGCUAGAUUGCUCCGGUCAUUAGUGUGGAUAAGUAUAUAAAUGGAUAGAGAUAGGAAAGCAAACACAAGAUGUACGUGGUUCACCCAGAUUGGCUACGUCCACGGAAUAGAAGAGUUCUCAUUAAUUGUGAAGGGUUUACACAAGUACAUAGGUUCAAGCUCUCCUUUAGUGAGUACCAGUGAAUGAUUUAGUACAAAUGACAUUAGAGUACAAAUGACAUUAGGAAAUAUUGUGGGAGAAUGAUCUCGUAAUCACGAAACUUCUAAGUAUCGGAGUGUGGUAUCAUCUUGACUUGCCUUAUCUGUCUCAUAGGUAGAUGUGGCAGCUUCUCUGGAAGUACUCUUCCUCCAUCCAGGGGUGGUAUCUUUAACUGGUAAAGAUGCACAAGGUAAUGUAUCAAUUUCACUUGAAGCUUACUUGUAGUGUCAGGCUUGGUCCAGCGCGAUACAAACCAUGUAGUAGGAGUCCCCCAAGUCGCCGAGCUAGGGGAUCUGCUGAAAGAGGUGACAGACAAGGUAAGCAAUCAGAGCUCCGGCUGAUUGUUCACCUUCUCCUCAUCUUGCAGCAGCAUGAAGGAUAAAGAGAAGAAAAAUGAGAAUAGAUGAUAUGGGAUACUUUUGCUUUUGAAGAAGUAACUUUCCACAGGCUUAUUCUUGAACUGAGCUGGAGGGUUUUCUAGUUUCCUCCAGAGUAUAAGGCCGACUGAAGAAUUUGAGGGUCAAAACAAGUCCAUCAAAUCUAGAGUACGUUCGACCCUGCUGAUAUGGGAUACUUUUGCUUUUGACAGAGUAAUGGAUGUAUCGGCACGUGUGCUGUUACGCUUGUCUCCACAUGCUUCCUUGUAUCCUUCGCACUUGCCCUAUCUGUUGCUCAAGCAGAUGCGAUAUCUUCCCUGGAAACAUAAGAUGUUGAAGAUGAGUACUCGAGAGCAAUGCCAGGUAAGUAAUCAGGUAAGGGGUUCCAGGCAGUCAGUUCCUGGCUGGGAGCUUGAUUUCAAGUGCUGACUGAUUGCUCUAUUUCUCCUUGUCUUGCAGGUAAAAACAAGGCCAAAGGUAAAGACAGGGAAAAAGCAUGAUAUGGGAUACUCUUGCUUUUAACCCUGAUGAUAUGAGAUAUUCUUGCUCUAGUAUAGCUUGAUUGCAGAGGUAUUAUCGGGGGGAAAGAAAGCUGAAUAUUUCGAAAGGUUUCGUUGGGAAUGCCCUCUCAGAUAUAAGGAAGGGUUGAGCAUUUUUGCAGGUCUGCCUGUCCGUUGGGGAUGAAGGUCGACAUAUAUAGGAGUCUCCCUAACAACAAGUAGUAAUGCUAUUCCUUUACCCUGCUUGGUCAUAGCACGGUAGUGGGAGCUGUCAGCUUCACAUGUUUUAACUCUGUCAAAGCACUUUGAAAAAGUGGUAUGUGGUAUCUGGCUCUCGAGAUUCGGAGAACGAUGCUUCUUCGAUUUUUGAGAAAGCAAUCAUGCUGGGGGUCUGGCUCUCGAGAUUCGGGGAGCAGUGUCUCUUCGAUUUUUGAGAAAGUAAUCAUGUUGGGAGUCUGGCUCUCGAGAUUCGGAGGGCGGUGCCUCUUCGAUUUUGGAGUAAGCAAUCUUGUUGGGAGUGUUUUCUCGGAUGUGAGUAAAGGUUAGGCAUGUUUGCUAGUCUACCUUGCCACGAAGCACGGAGGUUGACACAUAGGAACUUUCCAAUUAUCCAGCAGUGGUACUGUUCCUUUACCCUUGUGGGUAAUAAUAUGGUAGCAAGACCUUCAAAAUUUAUGUGUCUAAACUUUGUUAGUGCUGUUUCUUUGCUAUUGUUUUACCUUUCUACUUCACCAGAAGUCUUCGACAAAAUGCCCAUAAUUUUCGCAAAGCUGAGUGUGCGUGUGACAGGUGCUGACAAGGCUAGAAAAGUAGGUGCCUCUUCGAUUUCUGAGAUCGGCCCUCGAGGUCUCUGAGCAGCCCAGCUUUUGAGAAAGCGAGCGCCUCUUCGAUUGAUUCGGAGAACGAUGCCUCUUCGAUUUUUGAGAAAGCAAUCAUGCUGGGGGUCUGGCUCUCGAGAUUCGGGGAGCAGUGUCUUUUCGAUUUUUGAGAAAGUAAUCAUGUUGGGAGUCUGGCUCUCGAGAUUCGGAGGGCGUGCCUCUUCGAUUUUGGAGCAAGCAAUCUUGGUGGGAGUGUUUUCUCGAAUGUGAGUAAAGGUUGGGCAUGUUUGCUAGUCUACCUUGCCACGAAGCACAGAGGUUGACACACAGGGACUUUCCAAUUAUCCAGCAAAGGUACUGUUCCUUUACCCUCUCUUCGAUUUUUGAGAAAGUAGUCAUAUUGGGAGUCUGGCUCUCGAGAUUCGGAGGACGAUGCCUCUUCGAUUUUGGAGCAAGCAAUCUUAUUGGGAGUGUUUUCUCGAAUGUGAGUAAAGGUUGGGCAUGUUUGCUAGUCUACCUUGCCACGAGGCACAGAGGUUGACACACAGGGACUUUCCAAUUAUCCAGCAGUGGUACUGUUCCUUUACCCUUGUGGGUAAUAAUAUGGUAGCUAGACCUUCAAAAUUUAUGGGUCUAAACUUUGUUAGUGCUGUUUCUUUGCUAUUCUUUUACCCUUCUUGGUCAGAGCGAUGUAAUGGGAGCGGCAAGCUUCACGUGCUCAACUUUGGCAGAGAACUUUGGCAAAGUUAUCUGUGGUACCCAUGAGCUAUUGUUGUGUGUGGGAAGUGGGUGAUUGGACAGUAAGAUUCAUGUGUUUUCUACUUCCCCAGAAAUCUUCGACAGAAUACCCAUAAUUUCCGCAAAGCUGAGUGUGCGUGUGACAGGUGCUGACAAGGCUGGAAAAGUAGGUGCCUCUUCGAUUUCUAAGAUCGGCCCUCGUGGUCUCUGAGGAGCCCAGCUUUUGAGAAAGCGAGCGCCUCUUCGAUUUCUGAGAUCGACUUUCGUGGUCUUUGAGCAGCCCAACUUUUGAGAAAGCAAACACCUCUUCGAUUUAUGAGAUCAACCCUCGUGGUCUCUAAGCAGCCCAGCUUUUGAGAAAGCAAACGCCUCUUCGAUUUCUGAGCAGGCGCCUCUUCGAUGUCUGAAGCUCCGUCGAGUGCAACUUUUUAUAGGGGCUAGCAUUAAGUUCCAAAGCACACUUGAAUCUCCACCAGUAGAAGCUCCAUUCUUGCACUUCUAAGAUCUUGAUUUGUCCGACCUCUUCUCUCUUCAACACCUUUGAAAAUGUCUGGCCCCUCCGACUGUCGUUUUGACUUGAACCUUGUUGAAGAGGCAGCCCCGCCUUCUCCAGACAACAUAUGGCGCCCAUUCUUCGUUUCCCCUACUGGUCCUCUUACCGUUGGGGAUUCCGUGAUGAAGAAUGAUAUGACCGCUGCGGUGGUGGCCAGGAACCUUCUCACUCCCAAACAUAACAGACUACUUUCCAAACGGUCUGAUGAGUUAGCUGUUAAGGAUUCGCUGGCUCUCAGUGUUCAGUGUGCAGGUUCUGUGUCUAAUAUGGCCCAACGCCUAUUUGCUCGAACCCGCCAAGUUGAAUCAUUGGCGGCCGAAGUGAUGAGUCUCAAACAGGAGAUUAGAGGGCUCAAGCAUGAGAAUAAACAGUUGCACCGGCUCGCACAUGACUAUGCUACAAACAUGAAGAGGAAGCUUGACCAGAUGAAGGAAACUGAUGGUCAGGUUUUACUUGAUCAUCAGAGAUUUGUGGGUUUGUUCCAGAGGCAUUUAUUGCCUUCGUCUUCUGGGGCUGUACCGCGUAAUGAAGCUCCAAAUGAUCAACCUCUGAUGCCUCCUCCUUCUAGGGUUCUGUCCAGUACUGAGGCUCUGAAUGAUCCCCCUCCGAUGCCUUCUCUUUCUGGGGCUCUACCGACUGCUGAGACUUCUCCUAAGCAACCUUUGUGAAGGCUCCAUCUUGUUUGUUUAUUUUGACUCAUGUAUAUGUACAUAUUUGUAGCUUAUCGGGGAUAUCAAUAAAUAAGCUUUCCUUCAUUUCAACGUAUUGUGUUAAAUACACCAAAGCCUUCUUCGCUAAGUUCUUUGAAUUUUCUUUUGUUGAAGCUUGUAUGUUGAAGCUUUCUGAGUGGAGCAUGUAGGUUGGGGUAGUGUUCCCUUAAUUUUCCGAGUGAGGAAAACUUCUCGGUUGGAGACUUGGAAAAUCCAAGUCACUGAGUGGGAUCGGCUAUAUGAAUCUUAGAACGCCAUUGUGCUCGGUCCUGUGUCAUGUCCUUCGUUAGAUCCAAGUACUCUAAGUCUUUUCUUAGAGUCUCUUCCAAAGUUUUCCUAGGUCUUCCUCUACCCCUUCGGCCCUGAACCUCUGUCCCAUAGUCGCAUCUUCUAAUCGGAGCGUCAGUAGGCCUUCUUUGCACAUGUCCAAACCACCGUAACCGAUUUUCUCUCAUCUUUCCUUCAAUUUCGGCUACUCCUACUUUACCCCGGAUAUCCUCAUUCCUAAUCUUAUCCUUUCUCGUGUGCCCACACAUCCAACGAAGCAUCCUCAUCUCCGCUACACCCAUUUUGUGUACGUGUUGAUGCUUCACCGCCCAACAUUCUGUGCCAUACAGCAUCGCCGGCCUUAUUGCCGUCCUAUAAAAUUUUCCCUUGAGCUUCAGUGGCAUACGGCGGUCACACAACACGCCAGAUGCACUCUUCCACUUCAUCCAUCCAGCUUGUAUUCUAUGGUUGAGAUCUCCAUCUAAUUCUUCGUUCUUUUGCAAGAUAGAUCCUAGGUAACGAAAACGGUCGCUCUUUGGUAUUUCUUGAUCUCUGAUCCUCACCCCUAACUCGUUUUAGCCUCCAUUUGCACUGAACUUGCACUCCAUAUAUUCUGUCUUUGAUCGGCUUAUGCGAAGACCUUUAGAUUCCAACACUUCUCUCCAAAGGUUAAGCUUUGCAUUUACCCCCUCCUGAGUUUCAUCUAUCAACACUAUAUCGUCUGCGAAAAGCAUACACCAAGGAAUAUCAUCUUGAAUAUGUCCUGUUAACUCAUCCAUUACCAACGCAAAAAGGUAAGGACUUAAGGAUGAGCCUUGAUGUAAUCCUACAGUUACGGGAAAGCUUUCGGUUUGUCCUUCAUGAGUUUUUACGGCAGUCUUUGCUCCUUCAUACAUAUCCUUUAUAGCUUGGAUAUAUGCUACUCGUACUCUUUUCUUCUCUAAAAUCCUCCAAAGAAUGUCUCUUGGGACCCUAUCAUACGCUUUUUCCAAAUCUAUAAAGACCAUGUGUAAAUCCUUUUUCCCAUCUCUAUAUCUUUCCAUCAAUCUUCGUAAGAGAUAGAUUGCCUCCAUGGUUGAGCGCCUGGCAUGAACCCGAAUUGGUUGUCCGAAACCCGUGUCUCUUGCCUCAAUCUAUGCUCAAUGACUCUCUUCCAGAGCUUCAUUGUAUGACUCAUUAACUUAAUACCCCUAUAGUUCAUGCAAUUUUGUACGUCGCCCUUAUUCUUGUAGAUAGGCACCAAAGUGCUCGUUCGCCACUCAUUUGGCAUCUUCUUCGUUUUCAAAAUCUUAUUGAAAAGGUCAGUGAGCCAUGUUAUACCUGUCUCUCCCAAAACUUUCCACACUUCGAUUGGUAUAUCGUCUGGGCCUAUUGCUUUUCUAUGCUUCAUCUUCUUCAAAGCUACAACCACUUCUUCCUUCCGGAUUCGACGAUAAAAAGAGUAGUUUCUACACUCUUCUGAGUUACUCAACUCCCCUAAAGAAGCACUCCUUUCAUGUCCUUCAUUGAAAAGAUUAUGAAAAUAACCUCUCCAUCUGUCUUUAACCGCGUUCUCUGUAGCAAGAACCUUUCCAUCCUCAUCCUUGAUGCACCUCACUUGGUUUAGGUCCCUUGUCUUCUUUUCCCUUGCUCUAGCUAGUUUAUAGAUAUCCAACUCUCCUUCUUUGGUAUCUAGUCGUUUAUACAUAUCGUCGUAAGCCGCUAACUUAGCUUCUCUGACAGCUUUCUUCGCCUCUUGCUUCGCUUUUCUAUACUUUUCACCAUUUUCAUCGGUCCUCUCCUUGUAUAAGGCUUUACAACAUUCCUUCUUAGCCUUCAAAGCAAGUGGUUCUUAAUGAGUUAAUCUCCAAUGAUAUUACCUCUCUCUCGAGUCUUUGGGUGGUAUUGCAAAACCAAUAUCAUCAUCUAUAGCAGUCUGUUGUAGUCAAAGUGUCGCAGUAGUUUCUUAGCCAUGCAGAAGCAGAUUUGAGGAUACGAAGUUCACCAUUGAGGAGAUCCUGAGCCAUUUGCCUCCAGAGAAAGUCUUUCGCAUGUAACUGGAGAACUUAUGGGUUCCAAAGACUAUGCAUGCACUCGAGAAGCACAAAAAGGAGUUACUACAUUUGUAGUCAGAUGCAACAUUAUGUAAACCAUAGAAAUGAUUAUAUUAAAAUUCCACUCUCUUCGUAUGUUUAUUACUGCUUCCCAAACUCCUACGACUUCUCCAGUUAUAAAAUUCCUCAACUUCAUUAACAUCUCAACCAAAAUGAGUAUAUUACUGCAACACGUCAACUGAUUCAGUAUGCGUAUGCUUAAGAAUUCUUUCUUUCACAAGAACCGUAAUUGGUGUAUGCUCUCGGAAUUAAUGCAUUAUCAUAGAAAAUAAUGAACUCUUGUUUAACUUAGCUUAGACAAGUUCUCUAAACAAAGGGGGUCAAAAGUUAGUAUCUUUUACCUGGAUAGAUGCAUCACAAUCCACAGCUGAUUGGGUUAAUUUUGAUAACAUCUGAUGUGCUUCAAUCUCUCUGCUGCUGUUUGUUAAAGGACGUCGAGCCAAUCAACCAUCAUGUUCUGUAACUUCUUUGGCCAGGUCACUAAGUUCUGAAUAUUAAGAAACAAUCAAUAAACUAUUUGCAGAUGAGUCAUAAGGUUAAAUGAGCUCAGAAGCAUAUUAAGCAAUGCAUGCGAGUAAGUUAACAUGAAGAGAAACACACCUUAAGGAGAGGCGCAACAUAGAACACGAGCAAAAGCACGAAGUGACUGAGGAAUUCCUUUCCCUUUUCCACUACCAGACCUAACUUCCCUAUGUCAUCAUACGAUUAUUGUAAUCAGUAAAAGAUUUUCAUCACAAGAUAUCAAGUCAUCACGCGGAUAAACGCAUUAGUUAAACAAGACUGGAAAUGGAACAAAAGAAACAGAAUAUUUGACUUCACAGAGUACCACUAGAUACGGGGGAUAAAGCCUAAAGGCCAUCAUGUAGGCAAAGGAACAUAAAUAGGGGAACAAAGGAAAUAAAAGAGAUACAGUGCAUCACUACCAACUUGAUAGUGAAAGAAUCCAUUGAAGAGUCAAAACCAUUGACAGCAUUACUGAUUGGUCUGUGAUCUCUCUUCAAAAGUUCCAACUCCAUUUCACAAAGGACGUCAUGGUGAGGUAUAUUGACCUAGAUCUCAACCUGAAAAUAGUCCAAAGGCAUCCGUAACAUUUACAUAUUUCAUAUAACAAAACCAUCAUCUGGAAAGAAAUGAUGUAGAACGUGUAUUCAGUAUCUUACUAAUUGACACAGGGUGACAGAUAAUUAAGUGGCUUCGGUCUUCAAGCAAACUUACCGAACAAAGAGAUUAUAAAUACUCAACUAAUUGCAAUUACUAUGCUCCCAUGAAAGACAUCCAACUUAUCAAAGAGGUUUUAAGCAAGUGCUAGAUCAAAAGUAGUCUUGUUCUUCGAGUCAAGGAGAGAAUAGUUUUGUUACCAAAACAAACUUCUAGUCAAAGUGUUAAAUUAAAGUCAGAAGUGUGAAUUAAGCAACAGAAACAUUUUCCCAACAUAACAAAGCAAUCAUUGUGACUAUAGUGAACUGAAAUCCUAGACUGACCUGGUCGUGGAUGUUGUAUGAAAGUGUAAACCCAAAGUCCCGAAGCAGGGUAGCAUUUGAAAAUUUUCCGUAUCUUAUCAGUACCUAUACAAAUAUACAAAUUGAAGUCCAGAGUUACAACUUUAAACAACCACUUCUGCAACGUAACCAUAGUCACGAAUUGUCCCAGAGGAUGUUUCCAUGUACCAUCCAUUCAUACUAAUAAAAGGAAACCCCAAACUUCCAGUAAUUUCUAAAUAAUAAUUCCACAGCAUAUCUCAAGCAAUAUUGUGCUUUUUACUCUAACAUAGACCCUGUGUUCAUGUGUUGUGAUCUGUUAUCUGUUAACACACAAUGACCACUGAGGAAUAAAAAGUUUUACUAAUUCUUAGAAAAAAUAGAUAAGAAAUUAGCAGAAGGUCAUGAAAAUUUCAAACCCAAAGAGAGACAUCUAAAACGAAAAUGAGUGAAAAUGUUAAUGAGUCGUCUACAAAAACAAAAAUUGAUCAAAUGUUUCAAAACAAAAAAGAAAUUCCAAAGGGUGCCUGUAAUUUUAAAUAGGGGAAGCAAGCCAUCUUAAUUAAGUAGCAUCUAACCUGUUCACCAGGAGCAUAAUUGUGGUCAGCAAUGACCUGCCCAGAUAAAUAACAGGCACGAAAAAUCAAGAACAUUGUGAAAUGAAUUUGUUUUGCAUCCCAAUAACUAACUAAUAUAAAGCAAGAAAGACAUAAAAAAGACUCAAUUUCCAUAAGAGUGCAGAAUGAAUAAGGAGAAUAUAAAAUUCUUGUACUCCUAUAACCAAAUCAAGAUGUGAGAUAGAGAAUCAAAACGCAGAGAGCGAUUUGUUGUCGUCACUCAACACAAUUGAUUCUGAAGUAUCGUCAUGAUUCAAAAAAUCAGCAAAUGGGAUCUAUAAAAUAAAUUGAAAUUCCAAAAAAUUCAUAAGGGGAAAAAAUUGAACCUCCAUCAUAAAGUUCAUAACACUAUUUACAACAGAAUCUUUAUAAAUGUGUUACCAGAGAAUAACCCUUCGUGUUUCCCCAUGCUCGAGAACUAACUGCAAAAUCCACCGUGAACCAGUGAGAAUAAGUUGUAUAGAUCUUUACAAGAUGCAACUGCUGCAACUGAUAAUAUCUAGAAUAUUUUUGUAUCCAGCAAUCAUAUAAAAUUGGAAUGAAUAGGUAUAUAGGUAAAUGGAGAUAUAAACUAUAUGAAAUGGGAUGCUAUUGAACAUCUACACCGCUGCUGGCAUUCAUUUAUUUAAUUCAAAAAAUUGGAAUUAAGUACAAUUGAAGCAAAUUAUUCAGACAGAUUAGGACGUGAAAAUGCUUUAAAAUGUAGAAGCUUACCUAAAGCAUAUACGUGCAUGAAAUCCUUAUAGGUGAUACUCUUGGACAUUUUAGGGAAGUUCUUGAGAGCCUGAAAAAUAUGUCGUAGCAAUAAUCAGAAUCUAAAAGUUAAUAACAAAGAAGUGAUUGACAAUCAUCUCAUAUCUCAGGUAAGUAUUGACUUGAUUAAGUUUCAAAAGUUAUUAAGUUGACGGAUUACUCUGGUUGUUUAAUUUUGCCAGGACAUUCAAGAUAAAGGGACAUUGAAUUACAUGCCACCAAAUUACAUGCCACCAACAGUUUAAAUCCCAAAUAGAGAUGAUGAUAUUAAACUUAAAGCAUACACAUGGAAGAGGUUCACGCAUGAACCUCCCAAAACCAUUAACCAGUGUAUAAAACAAUCAAGUACUUACCGUCCUAAUUACCAAAAAUUCCUUUUUGAUUUGAGAUCUUUGAUUAAUUGUUUCCUGAUAUACAGAGCUUUGGCGAAUCAGCUCCAGCUCAUUGUCACUCCAAAAUAUCUAAGAAUAUACAAACAACAUCCACGUCAAUAACAGUGAAUUCUUGCCAUUCAAGAAAUGUGUACAACCAAACGAAUCAACUACAAGUAAGGACUAUUGCUCAGUUAAAUUAUUUUCCGUUCAUGUUCAACACAUGCUGUCUGAAUUGACUGUCUAACGACAUAACCUACCAAAUGAUAACUUAAUAUCAUAUAACACUCACCGUGCAAUGCAUCCCUCCGGGUGAGGAAGCCAGUGAAUGUAAGGGGCCCAUCCGGAAUCCUGCAUAAACAAAACCCUCAAACUCCACCGAAAAAAUCUUUACACAACAUAGUAAUUAAACUAGAACAGCAAUCUACAUUGCCCAUUCUCUGCUCAAACAAAACAACAGUGGCAAGCUUUGCAGCAUCGCCAACUCCAUCACUCUUCAGUUCUGGAACAAGAUUAUCUGGAGCUAGUUGCUGCAAUUAUAAACCAAAACAAAGCCUCUUAAAUCAUAAAUUAACAAUUUAAACUGUGAUUAAUAAUGUGAUUAAAGUCUUAAAUAAUUUGGGUUAAGAUUUACCACGCUGUACGGAACCUUCAAAACGCAAUCUCCAGCUGUUAUGCUCUUUGAAGCAAACAGAGACGUUCCGGACGCCGAUUUCCCAAUUGAAAGUGCCCACAAAAUCUCGGCGCCGGCCUUCCGCUCCAGCCACGGCAAGAAGUCGUCGGAUUCGUCGACCUUGGGUUGGGACAAGGAGUGGAAGUUGAGCUUGAUACUUGGAGUGUAGGAGAGGCUGAGAUGUUGACGGCUGAGACGCCAUCGGAUUUUUCACGCUCCGAGUAGCAUUGCGGUGCGGGAUUGAGACGUCGUCGUUUUCAGGAGAGUGUUGGCUUGGCGCUCGACUUGACUAUCCACGCGGGGAAGGUAUGGAGAAUUAGACGCUGCUGGAAUUAUGUUGAAAUAAAAGAUGUUAUCAAAGUUGAUAGUCAUACAAUGUAAAUAAAAGAUUUAACUUACUUCGCUAUCGUUUCGUUCAAAAAAAAAAACAAAAAAAAGAUUUAAUAGCUAUUUGUAUAAAGCUCCUUCAUUAAUGUUAUUCCAAGUUCGGAUAAUCUUUAAUAUUUAAUUAUUUUUAUGAUAUUGUUGAUGCAUAAAAUCAGGUUGAUUUUGAAACAACGUAAAAUGUCAAAGUAUGACUUUCGCAAGGUUGCUUCCGUCACUAAGUAAAGAUAGUGUGGUAUGGAAACAAAUGCAAGAUGUACGUGAUUCAUCAUAAGUUGGGCUACGUCCAAAAGGAUAUAAGAAUUCUCAUUAAUAAUGCAGAGUUUACAUGAUACAAAGGUUUAAGCAUAGUCAUCAUUAGUGAGUUUAAUAAUGGAUCAGAGAAUCUAAGAUUAUAAAAAGCUUAAUUGUGAGAGAAUGAUAUCCUUUUGACGUUGAGAAUAGUCCCGCAUUUUAGUCUAUGGUCGAUGUGAGACUCUUAAAGCUUUAUUCUAUGAUUUGACACAUGUCGUGUUGUGGUGUUGAUGCUGGAUUCACAAGACACCAUGAAUGACAGAUAAGAAAGAACACACUCAGAGAGAUGAGGAGGAAUGGGUUCGAUUCGAUUCAUAGUAGGCGUUGAUGUGUGAAGAUGUUUGAGAGAAGGGAUCUCGGGAUGGUGGAGGUCGGGCUGGGCUGAAGACGAGCGAGAGUGAGCAUUCGUUGGCCUGACUAAUAAUACCAAACUUUUUGGAGAGAUGAGUAAGCGGGUGUGAAUUGGACUAAAAAGUUAGGACUGGAUAACUUAUAUGAGUACUAUUUAAUACAUAAAUGCACCAAACACUUGAGUUGUAUUAUUACUCCUAUCUGGUCACUUAUACAACGUGUUAACGAAGCCUAAAGAUAUAAGUUGACAGCAAGUGCGGCACAUGCCUUGUGCCACCAGGGCGGUUGUCUAGGGCCCAAAAUUAAAAAGGGCACCAAAAAAUCCAAAUAAAUAGGUAUGUUUGUACCAUACUUGACCAAUCCCGAAACUACUGAGCACCGGUCAACGUUAUACCGUCAAGGACCCAGAAGAGUUUCCUUCCAACCAGGAGGCCAAUCACAGCGCGACAUGUGUUGACAUCAGAAGCCAAUCACAACGCGACAUAUGUCAACAUCAGAAGUCAAUCACAACACGACACGUGUCAAUGUCAGAAUGAAACUAGAAAUUCUCUUCUAUAAAUAGAGAUCAUUCUCUCACAAUAUUUCUUAAUGUCAUUUGUACUAAAUCAUUCACUAAUACUCAUUAAAUAAGACUUUGAACCUAUGUACUUGUGUAAACCCUUCACAAUUAAUGACUCAUCCCCCUCAUGCCUUUUCUUUUCUCUAGACACCCCAACAUCAACCCCAUCGAAAAGGACUAGAGUGGGAUCGUUGCUGAAGAGGGCUAGGUGGGGUCGCCGUCAAAUAGAGGGUUGACGGUGGACUCGCCAGCGAACAGAGGAGUUUAGGUAGUUGAGGUCGCUGGAUGAGAGAUGGGUGGAGUUGGGGUCGCCUAGAAAAUUAUGGAUUGGGGCGAGCUUGUUGACGAAGAGAGGGUUUGGAGGUUGGCUCACCUAAGAAGAGAGGAAUUAGGGGUGGUGGGCUCAUCCGAAAGUGAAGGAUUUGAGAAUUAGGAGUUUAAUAAUGGAUUAGAGAAUCUAAGAUUAUAAAAAGCUUAUUUGUGAGAGAAUGAUAUCAUUUUGACGUUGAGAAUAGUCCCGCAUUUUAGUCUAUGGUCGAUGCGAGACCCUUAAAGCUUUAUUCUAUGAUUUGACACAUGUCGUGUUGUGGUGUUGACAAAGAGAGGGUUUGGAGGUUGGCUCGCCUAAGAAGAGAGGAAUUAGGGGUGGUGGGCUCAUCCGAAAGUGAAGGAUUUGAGGGUGGGCUCACCAGAGAAGACAAGGGUGUUCUCACCGGGGAGGUGAGGGUCGAGAUCGCCGGAGAAGGGGGGAUGGUUUGUUUACACAAGAAGGGAGGAAGAAGAUGAGAGGUGUUUGGUUACGAAGAUAGUAAAAGAUUUUGGGGAAAUUCAUUUGACAUGUGUUAAAAUUGUAGUGGGCGAAGUAAGAUAGUCAGUAAAUUGAGUACUCAAGAAUUGUCCUAAGCAAACUGUAAUCAAACUGCAAACAGAACCAUUUUUCUCUGAUUAUAAACCAAAUAAAAACGAAGGGGUCAAACUACUUUCAGUCUUUUACAGAAUCUUAACAUCUUUGUAUUUUAAAUUUUUUUCAUGGGUACAUCCGGACAAGCUCACUGGCCUACAUACCUAAUUGCAUCGUGCUCAUGAUGAAACAGGAAACUAUGUGUCGGCAAAAUGUGGCAGGGAGGAGGAUUUAUUUUCUCCUCUCCAAGCAGAAGCAGUGGCCUUGAGGGCAGGUUUGUCUUGGGCGAUUCACAGGGGUUUUCAACAUAUUUCUUUCGAAAGCGAUUCACUUUAUAUUGUGGAGGCGUCAUGCGAUUCCUCUCCAGAUUUGUCUUUCAUUGGACAAAUUGUAGAAGAUAUCAAGGUGCUUUUCCAUUCAAUCACUGAAGAUAAAAUUACCCGCACUCAUAGCCAAGCAAACUCAAUUGCUCAUCGCCUUGCACGGGUUGGUCUCUCGGAGCAACAAGAUUGUAUAUGGGAUGUUACUCCCCCAAGUAUUGUCACUGACUUACUUGUGGAGGACAAUGUACUGCCAUAAUUGGCUCUGGAUGUAAUUUUUCUUGUACCACACCUUUUUGAAGUAAAUGAAUCUACUACCGUAUCUUCUCAACCAAAAAAAAAAAAAAAAUCUAAUUGGGUAAGCUUAUGUGAAUUGAUUCUUGAAAACUGUUGAGAGUUGAAAUGUGAGGAACAGUUUGUCCUACAUCGGUGAGGGAUAAGUCUUGCUAGUGGCUUAUAUGAUCUUAGACUAUUCUCUAUAGUACCAAUUGAUUUUAUGGUGGAACUUCUUAAAAAACAAGUUGUAUAAGAUUUUUUUAAGUAAAAUGGCUGGGGGUUUACCAAAUAUAAGAAAAAAAACAAUUUGGAAGGGACGAAGAAAUAUGCAAUGACAUCUAUGCCACACCAAUUUUCACGAUUAUUGUAUCAAAUUAUGAUUGGGAUGGCCCCUUGAAAGGUGGGAUGGUUUAAAAGCUGGAAAGUGAUUUGUUCGAUUAUAAUUGAAGUAAUGGAUCCCAGUCUUGAGAUACAAUUUGUGGGAGUUGGAAAUAUUCGACAUGAUCGCAUGAUGUACGAUGAACGGUCACGAUUACGGAAUCUCCAGGGUCCCAAUUUUAUCUUUGUUUAAAACGGAGCUUCUCCUUCUCAAUUGAUAUUUCCAAAUAUUGAUUUGAGAAAUUAAACUCAAUUAAUUUAAGGAGAAACUAGGUUCUCAUCAUUCUUUUUGCUAUUCCAUUGAUUAAAAUUUUAUUCAUUUUCAAUUGUUGAUCAAGGUCCUUAGGUAUUAAUAACAUCAUUAAUUAUUUUAAUAAUAAAAUAUUUUUUUUAUUUCUAAAUAUAUUCAUUUUAUGUUAAAAAUGUUACAAUUAGCAUAUUUAUAUUUAUGACUAAGUUUUUUAUCAUAUAUUUUUAGUUUUAGUUUGUACCCAUUUUUAAUUUGUAAAUUUUUUUUAUUUGUACCAAUUUUCUUUUCAAUUUUAAUUUGUACCCAUAUAUUAAUUUCUUUUUGUGCCCAUAUUUUUUAAAUUUUAUUUGUAUUUGUACCCAUAUGUUUUUUUAUUUGUACUUUUUAUUUUGCUAAAUGUACCCAUGCUAAUUAUAUGUACCCAUUCAUGUAAAACUUUUUAAUCUUAAAAUGUACUCAUUCUUAAAUACCAACUUGUGUCUUCCAAUAUAUAUAUAUAUACCAACUUGUUAUAUGUAAAAUGUACCCUUUUUUUAUAAAAAAUAUAUUCAAUUUUUUUUCUAAUCCAUUUUUAAACUUAUAUGGAUACAUUCUUUUUUCUUUGAUUUUAAAAUGUAUCCAUGUCAAGUUUAAUCAAAGAAAUUUACUAAUGUUAUUAAGCCUAAUAUUUUUUUUUCGUGAUUUUGAAGAAUGUACCCAUGUUUUGAUACAAUAAUUUUUUUGGUAAAUUUUGAUGAAUGUACCCAUGUUUAUACACACACGCACACAAUAGUAUAUUUAUAUUUUAAAAUUUUAAUCCCACAAAUUAUGGUUUUUUAUUUAAAAUCUCAUUUAUAGAAACAACUAAAAUUUCUAAUUUUUAAUUUAAAAAAAUAUAGUAACGUACAUAGAAAUAAAUUAUCACAUUAAUUUCAGGGACCUCGAUCAAAAAUUAAAAAUCAACAAGGUUUCAAUCAAAAAAUAUUCAUGACUAAGAACCGGAUUCAAAGUCUCCCUUAAUUUAAUUACAUGUUUUACUUUAGUUUCUUAAAACGGAGCUUCUCCUUCUUAAUUGACAUUUCCAUCUAUAAUGUGACUUUUUUUUAUCACGCAAAUUACUGGUAUCGUAGUUGCCUCACAAAUUGUACCAUAAUUACACUAGUCAUUAUCUUAACAAACAUUAUGGUUAGAUCCACAGGACCCCUUAGAUGACCUAGGGUAAGAAUUCUAUUGGUUAUAGCUCGUGGGACAUAUUCUUUUUCUCCGAAGACAAGCUUUAGUCAACAAAAUUCUUACCAUAAGUCAUCUAGAGGUAUUGGUGGCGGAAUUACCAAUUACACAAAUCUGAUACGUUUGGUAGAAUUUUUACGAAGAUUAUUAAAAAAAAUUGGUAACAUGGGGUGGGUCACCCUAAAAAACUAGCUCCAAAAGUUAUUACAUAUAGUUCAAGUUCUAAGGAUUCCCAUCAAAUCAUCAAAUAAUUGAGUUUCGAUCCAAUAAGGAGGAUUAUCAAAACAAUAGUAUCUCAAAUCCAUAUUAUAGCCCCAUUUUUACGAAGAUUGACAUGUGUGAGUAUAUGUAGAUUAACAUUGAAUAUAUGUUUAUCCAUAUUAUAGACGGUUAUGAUUGUUGACUUACAUUUCGAAGUGGACUCCAAAAAACUUUUGUUAAAAGUUGUGUAAUUAAAUGGUACGCACUUCCCUUCGUUUUGGGGGAGGGUAGGUUGGAGACGCUUGCUAUUUGGUGGAUUGGAAGAGUUUUCUAAUACUAUUCUGUCAGUAAAGUUUUCUAAUACUCUCUACAUAAAUUUAGGAUGCUGAUUCUUUCAAUGUGUCCUGUCGUUCUUUUAUUGAAAUUUGACUUAUUUGUAGAGACUAUGGUCUCUGUUUUCCUCAAAUCUUGUGGGAAUGAGCUGAAUAGGACAAUGUGCUAAAUAGUACCCAUGUUUAGUUGAACUUAUUACUAUGCAGGAAAGAUGUUUUGUUGAACACAAACUAGCACAUAAUUUGCCUGCAUCAUCUCUUUGUGGUGGUGGUUUCUCAAAGAUUAAUUUUCGUCUAUGUUAUUCAUGCAGCCUUCAACAUUCCCAUUAAGGAAUCCUUAGACGCCGCUUAAGUUAUUAUGUGUCCAAUCUAUCGAUCGAUAUACAGGACUAGGUUUUCUAUAAUACUCAUUAUCUGUGCCAUCUUCUUGAGAAAUAAUAUAUUUUGAACUACACGUUUUAGGGAGAUGUUUAGGUUUGGUGGUUAUAUUUUAUCUUUGGAACUGCAUAGUACUGGUUAAUCUUUGAUUGUAACUUUGUUUAUUCUUUUGUUAAUUAUGUUUUCGAGGUGUUAUUUGAGCCAAAGUAAUGGGAUUAUCUGGUUGACUAAUUCAAACAGGAAUCUUGCAAGUAAUAUGGCAUGACGCUUGAGCCUUUGCCAAUUAUUUAUUUGCAAGCAGGCCUGUCUGCUCUUAAAGUUUGAGCCAAAGUAAUGGGAUUAUCUGGUUUGGAUUGUUGAUAUUAUGUUUAGAGUUUUACGGUUAGUGAAAAUAUUGUUUGAUGUUUAUGAAGUUUCUACAAACUAUAUGACAUCGACUCAUAUUUCAGUUAACCGUAAAUAUCGAAACGUGAUAUCAAAUAUCUGAACCGUUCAUCUUCUUACAUCCACCAGAUAAUCAUGUUUUCAAAAAAGAAAAUUUUAAAAAUGAAAUUCAGUAAGAAGAAUAAAGUAUAAAUGACAAUUGACGAUUAAAUAUAAAUUUAAUGUUUAUAGAUCAUAGUGUUGGAUUUUGAAGCUGAUCUCUUCAUGAAAGUUGUAAAGCUUGUUACUAUGAGUGAUUGUAUUUUUUUUUUUUUUUACAUUUUUUACACUUCUACAAUAAUUAUUAUUAAUUUUUCCCUCAAAUAAUUAUAUGAAUAAAUACAUAAUAUAAUAUUAAUAGUAUUGGUAGGUACGGUAUACCACAGGUACUGGUUUUGGAUACCAGUAUCGUACCGAAACAGUAUGGUACGGUACAAAUACCGUACUAUUACCAAUUGGUACAAAUUUUUGGUAAUAAUUUGGCAUGGUAUGGUUGGUAGGACGGUUGGUACGGUAAUUUGGUAAAAAAUUUCACCCCUAUUAUAAAUUUUAAAAUGUGACAAUAAUUCUAUAUAAAGUUCAAAUUUUAGUUUUUUUUUUUUCAAAUUUCCCAAUAACUAUAACUAACCGCUAGCAACUACAAAGAUUUGUACAUAAAAGAAAGCUGAUAUCUCUAUUAAUUAAUAAAACCCUUUUUGUCAACCAAAAGAUGGUGAAAAGACAAAUUGGUCUUCUAUCAAACAAAAAAAAUGAUGGGCAAUAAUAUAAUUUCACAGGUUCAAAUUUUACUGUUUUUUAUUGAAGCUUCACCUACAAGUGAUGUUAGAAUGCCUUCAAUAUUAAAAAAAAAAUUAUUAAAAAAAAAACGAAAACAAAAAGAAAUAUGCAAAUACACCUAUGCCAUACCAAUUUUCACGAUUAUUGUAUCAAAUUAUAAUUGUGAUGGCCCCUUGAAAGGUGGGAUGGUUUAAAAGCUGGAAAGUGAUUUGUUCGAUGAAUAAUUGAAGUAAUGGAUCCCAAUCUUGAGAUACAAUUUGUGGGAGUUGAAAGUAUUUGACAUGGUCGCAUGAUGUACGAUGAAUGAUUACGAUUAUGGAAGCUUCAGGAUCCCAUAUUUUAUCUUUAUUUAAAACGGAGCUUCUCCUUCUUAAUUGACAUUUCCAUCUAUAAUGUCACAAAUUGUACCAUAGUUACAUUAAUCAUUAUCUUAACAAACAUUAUGGUUAGAUCCACUAGACCCCUUAGAUGACCUAGGGUAAGAAUUCAAUUGGUUAUAGCUCGUGGGACAUAUUCUUUUUCUCGAAGACAAGCUUUAGUCAACAAAAUUCUUACCAUAAGUCAUCUAGAGGUAUUGGUGUGGCGGAAUUACCAAUUACACAAAUCUGAUACGUUUGGUAGAGUUUUUUCGAAAAUUAUUAAAUUUUUUUUGGUAACAUGGGGUGGGUCACCCUAAAAAACUAGCUCCAAGAGUUAUUACAUAUAGUUCGACAAGCAGUGACGGCGUUGAGGGGGAGCAAAAGGUGCAAUCGCACAGAGCCCCCAAAUUUGAAGAGCCCCCAAAAAAAUUUGGUAUCUUAUAUUUAUAUGUAAUAUUGUUAUAUAUUAAAAAUAUACUUUUAUUAGUACUUUAAAAUCUUAUAGUGUACUUUUUAUAAGUAAAUUUUCUUCUUUCUAAUAUAAAAAUUUGAAGUGCACAAUGAGAUAGUAGGAGUGCCAAUAACAACACCUUAAAAAUGAUUUUCUUUUCAAUUUUAUUAUAUAAUAAUGCUAUAUAUUCAAGUGAAACUUUAAAAUUAGAGUUUUUGAAGCUUUUUUUUCUUUCUUUAUUUGGUUGCUUAAGAUUGAAUUUUUUUUAUUAUUUAGUGAAGGUUAUAUUUGUAACUCUUUUUACUUAUUCAAUGACAUUUGUAAACUUACAAUCAGUAAGUCCUAAAUAUUAUUUUGAUUUAAGUUAUUAUUUUCUAGUACCAAUAUAUUGUCCUACUUUUAAAAAAAUAAAAACUAUCUUAAAAAUGGGCCAUUUUAUAAAUUUCGCACAAGACCUCCAAAAUCUCAGAGAUGGCCAUGAGUUCAAGUUCUAGGGAUUCCCAUCAAAUCAUCAAAUAAUCGAGUUUCAAUCCAAUAAGGAGGAUUAUCAAAACAAUAGUAUCUCAAACCCAUAUUAUAGCACCAUUUUUUACGAAUAGAGGGAUUCAGUGUGUGAAUGGAAUUUAUAGGCUCUAUGGAGUUUAUAGCAUGUGUAGGAAAAUAUUAAUAUUUCGAAUCUUUUAGAGUCACUCGAUUGUUAUUUAGAACGAGCUACGCAGAUAUCGAUUUAUUAAGAGAUAGAGUCGUUUUUGACUUAAUUAUAUGAACAUUAUUCUCGCAAAGCUAAGACUAAACUGUCCAUACAUCAAUGUAUGUUUUAAAGAAACGAUUUAGCUAAUUUAAAAAAUAAUGGUUCCCUGGAAAUUUGAAUUUGAUUCAAUAGUCGAGCUACUAUCCCAUUGAGUCGAUUAUGGGAAAGGUAAGUAGGAAGGGAGAAGCUAAGUAGCUAUUUCGACCUAUUUGUGAGUGUCGAGAUGAUAUAAGAGUGUGUGUCCUUUGAUAUAUAUGACUAUUGCUAGAAUAGAGAUAGUUAAGACGAUGUUUUUAUUAGCUGCUUAUAGUUUUUGUUGUAAGAGAGAUUGAAUAGCAAACAAGAUGUAAACUCUCCAGCACAUAGAUAAGUUCUAUGGGUCAUGCGUGAAGUCGAAAGUUAUAAGCAUUUUUCAUAGCUGUCUCAAUUAAAGAGCCGGUGCAUUUCCAUUAUCCGAGAGUUGACUUUCUUGGUGAGAUAGACUAAUAUUCUGCCUGUUACCUAAACAUCUUAUGGAUAGGAGCCAAAUCGAUAGACAUAGAAGUUUAUAGUGGAAAGCCACAAAUAUGCUAUCGUAUAUAAUUGGAGUACACUAAUAUACAGCAAACCAUACAAAAAGUUAGUGCAGAAAAAAGGCCUAUUAUCAUUAUACGUUCGAACAAUUAAUAUUCAAUUUUUUAUAUUUCAAUAUAAUUGUUUGUCCAAACCUUAGUAAUAGAUCGAAGAGUUUAUAAUUCUUUUGAAUACACUCAAUCACAACUAUCCCAGCCAUAAAAAAAAAUAAAACGAAGCACGUGAGUCUAGUACAAAGUUACUUGACCCAUUUUGUACGCCGAAUGGCAAAGGUAGAUUCCGAAACAAAAGAACAUUUUUCUUUAAAUCUCUCUUUUUUCUCAAUCUUGGGUCAGGUUACAUGUACUCUACAACCAUCUUGCCAGUCAAGCCUUGUAUUCUGUCAAUCAAUAACCUCAAUGCACAAUACAUCGAGAUUAAUCUUGAGGACACAACAUCAAAAACUUCAAUGACAACUACACACAGAUAUAAAAAACAACCGCACAUAAACGCAUGUACAAAGAUUAUUGCAAUGAGAACGUAAAGUCACUUCUUUUCAUUUCCACUGAUCCGAAGUAAUUUCUAUUAUUUUAUACACAGAAACGGAAAUGUUUUUCCAACAAAUUAUUAUCCUAACUGAAAUGGCUUUCCAAGUGCUCAAUAUAGACACAUCUGGAAUAGAUUUGAUUAGCAUUAUUUUCGCACUACACGUUUAGGGAGAAAUGUUUCUUCUUAGUUGUUCAUGGUUUAACAUGAUAUGUACUGACGCGCAAAUUUAACUAAAAGCGACGCAUGUGGCGCAUCCAUUUAAAAUUAUAUAAGUUCUUGAAAGACUUCGUUCUCACUUAAAUUGGCAUUAACAUUAAAAAGAAAUCAAUCACACAAGCUAGUUCCUUUUACAAAGUUUGGAAAAAUAGUUACAAAUGCCUAAAUUUUAUAACUUAUGUUUUAUUUUAUCUUUACAAAAUUGUACGGGGUUUAAGAUAAACAACCAUAUGAUAAACAUAGUCAUGCCUACACCAUACUUAGAAACCAUACAUCAAUGUAAUAACUAUUCCAGCAAGAUAUAAAAAAAGUCAAAAUUAUAUAGGUACUCUGUUUGAGACAAGAUAGCUAGCCUAGCAAACAUAAAGCAAUUGAAUAUAUAAGCUAUUUAUUAAUGGCAAAAAGUUGAGUUUAGAGGCGCAUGAAAGGCAUGAUAAUUUUAGACAUCAAUAGUAAAAAGAUUUUUAGUAAAUGAGAAUUACUAUUACACUAGUAUUGGAGCUCAGAAUUAUAUAAGGCGAUCAUCAAAACUUUCGCAAAUGCACGCAUAUGAAUAGUAGAGGAGAGAUGAUUAUCUAUGAAUAUCUGAGGCUCUUAUCACUCGUUUGAUCACUUGAUUAAAUUUGUACCUAGCUGAUAAUGCGCGAGUAUUUCCCUUAACAAUGUAGUGAAUACGGAUUUAAAUUUAAAGUCAAGUCUCACUCCCACUCGUAACCUCUUUUUCUUAUUGUUAGAUUUAUCAAUAAAGUCGACAUAUUCCCUCAUUACUUAUGAUUCCUCAAAAUCAUACAAAGUGAGUGAAGGUUGAUUAUUCAAUUGCUCCCAUACCAUAUUUAACAACUACUAUGCAUAGUUCCCUUUCAAAUAAAUUAGAGUAUAAAAGCUUAAACAUUGUCAUUACAGUUUGUGCAGGCUAGUGUACUAUUAUGACUUUAAUUGAAAUCUAUGUGUAAUGUGUUAAGAUAUAGUGCGGUAUAAAGUUAUUGUUACAUAUAACGAUUCACUUAGGAAUCGUGCGACUUUAGUUGACAGAAGGCUGUAUAACCUUACUUAUUCUCCAUAUCUAUUAUCUUCGUCAUUACUAUAUAAUCAAAAUGAGACACCUGAUGUAAACAAGUUUAACAUUAAGGCAAGAUGAUAUCCAAUAAUCAAGAAUAAAGAGAAAGAAAUAAGGAGAAAAUAUAGAAAUAUCAAUGUUUAAAUAUACAUUGACACAAUAUCUUACCAGGCAUAUUCCAGCAGUAUAAACGACACUCAAAUCAUAUUUCCGCAUACGACUUAAAUCAAAGCAGAUAUUAGAUUCUAUCGAAUAUCUACUCAAUCCAAACACAAUCUUGAUGUAACAAGUAUAUAACACGCGACAAUUAAUUCUAAAGCCAAAUAUGUCUCUACCGUCAUCCUCAAUGAAGAGAGCAAUAGGAAUAACCCAUAUAUAUUGUUAUCCACCGAAGAUGGUAUGGUGGAUAUAAUUAAUAUACCACAUUCAAUUUAUUUGGCACUAUAUUACAGAUUGAUAUGACGGCUAACACUCUCACUUUGUUGACGAUGCUCUUUAAUCUUUGAAAAGUGAAUGAAUUUGGUUUUGCAAUGAUAUGUGGAUUCUGUGGAUUUUUGAAAUUAAUUGGAUAGGCCUUUUUAGUUCUGUUGGUGGUUAAUCUCUAUUUCGUUGUUAAGGAUUUCAAAACUUCUCUAUAAUGUAUGUAUUGUGUUACGCUAAUGUAGAAAUUGCCCAAACAGCCUAACUAUAGUUUAUGUUAAAACUAACUCAAUUUUUUGAAUGAUUUACUAGUAAUUUGAAAGUUGGAAAGAGAACCAUCACGUAACUUCCAGAGGUCAUUCAAAUGUUUUCCGUAGGGAAAGUUGAACUUAUCCUAGACAGGUGAGAGAUUUCUAAUGUUUGAAGAGGAGGUCUGGAAGAGGAAGUAGAUAUAAGAGUUACAUUUAGGAUGUGAAUAAAUUACUAACUUUACAAUCGAGGGCACAUUAGUUAAAUCACUUCCAAAAUAUGAGAGAUAACACAAUAUGCAAAGCAACGAACUUUAAUCAUAUUAGGGUUGAGCAAUCCUUUGAAUUUUCAGAAUUUAAGGAGGAUCGCUAUUAAUAACAACUAUAUGUCACACUCUACGUUACUAUGGAACUAUUUUAUUUGGCUCAUCAAACGGCCAGAACGUUGGACUCUAUGUGUAAUAGAAAUAUGUCUAAGACAUAAAUGAAGGAUCAGAAAAGACAUCGUUUUGACAAUACUGAUAGCAUAAAUGGGCACUAUUAAGCACUGUCAAUAAUAUAAAUAGGUAGUUAGUACUGUUGCAAUUGGAACCUUCCAGAAUUAAUUUGAAACCUGAGAUUCACGAAAGAGGGCAGUAGCAUAAGGUAUGCGUUCACUACGUGUCCAACUUAAUUAUAAUAUUGAAAAAUUAAGAAGAGAAUCGGUAUUGAGAUUACGAGAGACAAAGAAGGAGAGAGGAGGUGGCAAACAAAUGGGUUCUAUCGAAUUUUGAAGAAAAUUUUGGAGAAUCAAAGUCUCCCAACUCUGAAAUACUUCAUCUCUAAAAGUUUUCCUUCAAAAGAUAUUAGGACAUAUGUAAACAUAUUAAGUCUUGAAUAUAUAAAUUCAAGUUUCGACAAUGAAACUCAACUUUGGAAUCAAGAUUCGAAAGACAAUCCUAAUAAACAAUUAGCGAUUAAGAUAAAUCUAUAGAGUUCGAGAGGAAUUAUGAACCUACCGAGCACACAACACUGAAGAAACGUUUAUACUCUAUCUGAAAAGUUCUUUUGUGCUGCUAAUUAGAGAAACAGUGUGAAAACUAGCAAGCAUAGUAACCCUCUCACAGGUCUUUAAGUAGUGGACAUCACUCAAUUCUAUAAUUUAAGUAGAAAAAAACAACAAAAUACUCUAACAUUUGAAAGGAUUAAGCUAACGUUGUGGGAGAGUGUGCUCGAUCACACUAACAUCAUGUGAUGACCAGAAAAUAACUGUCCUACAUGACUACACACAAAUAGUUAACUUUUUUGUUUGGUCAUUAUAAAAAAAAUAAAGAGAAAGACUCUUGACCUAAUAACGUACAAGAGAAAUUGAUAUUUGGAUCUCUCACAAACCCCUAACCGAUGAUAAUACAUCAGGUGGAAAUAAGGAUAGUGCUAACUGAACAAAGCUGUUACUAUCUCUAUGAUACACUUAAAGAAGAUACCUCGUACACACACCUAUUAUAAGACUUGAUCCCGUUCUAGUAAAUUCAUUUAAGACUUAGUCAGAUGUUCGGUGAAAAAAUAAAAAUUCUAGUAGAAUAUUAACUAUAGAAAUACCAUCAACCAUUAAUAUAUGCCGAACACAAGCAAUAAAAAUUUGUAAAUCCCAUAAUUAAAUUAAAAUCCGAGAGAAACUCACACAGCUCGCAAAUUCAAAUUUUUCAUCUAGAAUAGACGGCGAGUUCUAAAUUAUUAAUUAAGACUUCUCUCCAAUCCUGGGUUCACAUUAUUGAAUUCUAGAAAUCCCACAACGAAUACUGAUGAUUGCGAAUUACGGGUCAUGACUUUUGGUUCAGCUCAGCUCGCUAGAAUGAAAAGUGAAGUUUUGGCACUUGACAUUCACCUUCUCCUGAGCUUAGAUUACUAGAUGCUAUUGUCACAGGCUGUUGUUCGUAACUGGCUAUAGCAGACAAUAUAUUUCGUCAGGGUUCAGAGGAGAUGAUUAAAGAUACCCUUUGUAGACGCAGGAUGAUUUACAUGAUGAGAUUUAUUAAAUGUUUAAUGGAAAAACUUUGAGAAUCACAGUUUGGGGGUGAACUUGGGGAGCAAUGAGAGGAGGGGAGGAGGAGAUGGAGGAGAGCACGUAGGAGGACAAGUCAGAGAUAAAGUCUGGAUCGAUUAAGUCUGUAAAACGGUGGGGAAGCAUAAACAGUGACAAGAGUAGGUCGAGUAGAACUGGAAACGGUGUGGGAGAGGAGAAUCUUGCACAAAACAAAAGUGGAAAGAGUAAUACCAAAGAUUACAAAAGUUAUCAGGUGAGCUUAAAAGAAACAAGCGAGUGAUAACAACUUAAUAAUCAUAAACAUAUCGAAUCACAAGAAAUCUAUAAAGAAGGUGGCAAAAAACUAGGAAGAUAUCAAAUGUGUGAAUGAAAAUUGACCAGUAAAAGAAGGACACAAGAGGGAAUUGGACCACAAAGUUACUUUGAGACACCGUUUAGGUAUAUAUUACAAAAUAUUAUUUGGAGUAAAGAUUUUAUAAACAAAGUGGUGGAAUAAAACGAUAUGUGUAUCCUCAUAGCUUUAAGCUCCACUGAGGUGUUAAUUUUUGCUUUUGCGCAGCUCAUUUCACAAAUGACCUCAUCUAUGUUUUAAAAAACCCGUUCUCAUUUUGAAUUUUCAAAAUCUUUCAGCGCGUACGCCUCUAAAUCAUCUUCAUUUGGGUGACUAGAAGAUAUUACAUUGCCAAUUGUCUAUAAAAAUUCGGAUAAUUGAGUAAUUUCAAGUGAUUACCGACGCGAUUCCCACAUUCAACAACAAACCUUGAAGAGUUCCCUUCUCCUGGUCUUAUAGAUGCCAAUAUUUAUUACAAGGUGUAAAUGUAUGGUAGGACUAAGGUCCGAGCCCAAAUAUUGGCAAUUGUGUAAAUGAACAUGUCAAACAUAUUUUAGCCACUCGAAAUUGCAAAUGCACGUGGCUUAUAUUCCCUUUCAAAUAAGCUACCGGAGUGUGUAUCUAAUUGUCCAUUUGUCCAACCUUGGAAAAGGAACUCCACAAGAAAGUCAGGAUAUACAAUGAAGAGCACAGAUAAGAAUUGAAUUUGGUAAAAUUAUUGAAAUUCAAAUUUCAUGUACCUUACGAUAGUAAUGUUACUAUUUUAUAUAUAUGCUCCUCAUAAAUUUUGUUCUUGGCGUUUAAAGGAAUAUUGCAUAAAAAUCACACCACAAAUGAGUAACCCUACAGGAUCCGUUAUUCACGUUGGGGUUCAAUGAUAAAAAUUAACUCCAUAACUCAUAUUUUGUACUUUCUAUUUAUUAAUUGUUAAAUUGAUAAACUCACAACGUACAUUAGAUUAUAUCUUGCUUUCAUCACAAACAAGAGCACUCGCACAAUAGCUGUAUAAAACGAUCGCGAAAUAGAGUUUAUGAUAUUGAUGUGAGUAUGGGGAGGGCGCGUGUCGCGAGUGUCGCCAGAACGAACGAAGGUACUGAGCAGCUCGUUCACAACCCAACCUACUGCCAGAUAUAAGAUAUACGUGACAUUAUGAAAUAUAAAAAAUAGCAUAUAUACUAUAACCACAAGUAGAAAGAGACUCUUAUCAACGAUGUAAUGCGCUUCAACAAUAAAAAAAGGUUCAGGCGUCUUAUGUUAUCCCAAUUGGCAUGAAAUAUCUAAGUAUGGGACACGAAAAAUCAGGUCUAGACAGACCCCCUGCGAUCAUAACAUGCUUCUCAUCAUAAUUUCUUCAAGACAAUGGCUACCUGCCUUCUGCAACAAACUCCUCCCUGGUUGUCGUUUUGAGGAAACUCCAUUCGCUCUGCUACGUGGCGUUCUUCUCAAGUGAAGCACAAUAGAAUCUCGUGCUGGUGAAAAGUUCCACGGUUUACAUCCUAUAGCCUUGAAAUCCUUGUGGAAACAUGAGUAUAAUACUCACAUGCCUGCUGUGGAUUAUUCCGUUCUCUUCCAUUUUUCCAUUAGAAAUAUUUGGAGACCCGCAAUAUAUAAUUUUAAAUUGUUAAGAAAAUAUUCAAAAUCGAAAGAUUGUUGUUUGAUUUUAGAUUGAAAUUCUUUUGGUUUGGGCAUGUGAAAGUUUGUCAAUUCGACCAUAUUCAUUGUGAGCCUUCUCCGUUAUAGGCUGUCGUUGCGAGAGUUUGUUGUUACUAAAUUAACCAUUGUCAACAUAUACUUGCGCGUUCUUCUCAACACAGUCUCUCAAAAUGAUAACCAGUUGGUUGACCACAAAAGUGAGGUGUUGAAAUCCCAUCCUGAAAUUAUUGGUGAGGAAUUUUCAAUUUAUGUGUUGGAAUAUAAUAAAUUUUGUAUUAUUAAUUUCAGACACUGCUGUAUUAAUUAUUUACGACUUAAUAUGUCUUUAGGAUAAAAUCACACAUCAGAUCGAGGCAUAGUUGGGUGGCAAUAAAGGAAGCACGUGAAGUGUGUGUGCAAAAAAACAGAAAAAGAAAAAAAUAGAGGCUGCACAAAUGGCAGCUAGCAAGAAAAAAAUGGAAAAAAAAAGGAGGCUACUUGAAGGAUAAGUAAGGAGCGGGUAAAUAAGUGGGAGAGACGAAAGAUAAAAGGAGACGAAUCAGGAGGGAAGAGAGUAUUGAGGAAGCUAUGGGGAGAGCGAAUCAGAAAGAGGGGAAUGAGGUGACGAGUAGAGAAGAGAAGAGAGCAGUCAACACGGGAUCAGAAGAUCCUACCCAAUUGUGCGACCAACCGCUCCAUGACGGAGUAAUGAUGUAACCGUGGGUUUGCCCAGGCCCAAGAUAUCUGGCGUUUGUAGACGAGCCACCCCAUUGAAAACGACAUCACUAUUCGUUCUCUACUAUUCACGGUUUCCAUAAAAAAAUAUGGAGUUGAAUUGGGCUCCAAAUUUUGGAGAAGAACUGAAGCCGUCGGCUUUGAGAGGACACCCGGACGGAUACAAUUCCACCCAUUUUUUGAAACAUAUUUCAUUUCAAAUCAUUAUCCCUUAGCACCAAAACAUUUUCCUUGAGGAUAAACAUAAGCCCCCAACAACAGCCUAUUUGGGUUGUUGCGGCGGAACACCAGUGGUGUUCGAAUUCAAGAAUUAGCUUGUUGACCCAAAUUUCAAGGGUUUCCUAGCGAGUUGUAGCUUUUUCGAGGUGGUUUUGUGGUCCCGAAUUGGACUCGGCCUCGUUUUCAGGGUAUGAGAUAAUUUUCUCCCCCUUAUUGGAGGCAACUUCUUUUAAUCCUCCGUUGUGGAAUAUUUUGAAGAAUUUUUGAGAAAAUCAGUUUGACCUGUUAUUCUGAGGCACCCUAUCCGUGGAGAGAGACGGUAAUGAGACCAGAUGCUGAGUGGCUGGCGGCGCGUUGGUGUGGCGGGCGUAAGCCAGAGACCUUGACGACUGACCUUUUUACACUAUUGGAUACCUCUAUUAUUCCAUAAUGUGAUUUGUUUCUAGAGUAUGUGGCGAAAUCUAUCAUAUGACUACUAGUGAUAGAUAUAUAAAAGACGAAGACGAGCCACAUUAUGGACAUAAACAACUUUAGUUGAACUUCGAUCAUAGUUGAGAAAAAUCUGUACACAAACAAAUUUAAUAUGUUAUAGAGGUAAUAUUAGAUUGUUAUUGAAAGGAACAUAAAAGAACUAUAAAACGAUUCAGUGAGAGUUCCAUCGUAUGGAUCUUUCCAAUAAUAUUAGGAUUUGAAAUAAUAGAAUAUUGUAUAAUUUCAAAACUCAUUAACUUACGCUAAUAACCAAAUAUGUGAUAUACUAAACCGUGUUCAUUCAAUAAUAUUUCUCACUUUAAUGGGAUCCUUUCAAUAAAAAGAUUUUUCAAAUAUCGACCGAAAUACGAAGAUAUAAUUACACUUUGUACUGGUGUGUUGAUGGUAAGUACUGCGAAAUCCGAGUCAGUAAUGAGUGAGUUUAGUAUGAUUGUCUGUAUUAAAUGAGUAAAUAUUAAAUAUAUGUUGUAAUAUUAAGAGUUAUGGAAGAUCCGAUUAAUUCAUUCCAGAUAUAUUUUGAGACGAGAGGUAUUCCUGUUGACGGAAUCUGAGAUUUAUGAUGAGUUGUGGUCCCGUUCAAUUGACGUGUGAGUCAUGACUUUUGGCUACUACAAUUAAAAAUUUCUCACUUUAAUGGGAAUCUGUCUCGCAAAUUGAGUUCUGAUCUACUGAUUGAGGUUACACCAGAAGAUUAAGGUGAGAAGUCUUUUAUGUGGUUACCUGCAUACUAUGGAUCAGCAGAGUGAAAACUUGAAUAGAAGUGUGAUAAUAGGAAGGUUAUUACCUGUAUAAAUAUUGUUCCUAAUAUUUCGUAUUCACACCUUGCUGAAUAGUUGUACUGUGUAUUUAUAAAUAGAAUUUCUUUGAAAUGUAUUUUUAAUAUAUUAGAACCUCAUAAGAUCUAUGUUUAUUAACACAAUGAUUUUGGAGCUUGAUGUAUAGAUGAGUGAAUGUGAGUAAUUGUGUUUAUGGUUAAUCGCUUUAAUAGUAAUGUGUAAUGAAUAAAAAUAAUAGAAUAAAUAUGAUUUUGAAAAUUAGAGAAAUAUAUAAUAAUCACCUAUUAAUAAUUAUAGUAGUUUCAUUAUUGUGUAGAAUAUUUUUAAUAUGCUUGUUUGAUUUAAUAACACAUAAUAAGUUAUGGAGGCGAUGAGGAAUAAAGAUUGAUAGUCGUAAAGUGUGGCUACGUUGUAUAAUCGAGCGGGUUGAGGUAGUGGUAGGUUGAAGUGGUCCAGAAUCGUACCAUUCGAAUUCCGUUGAGGUGUAUGUGUCCGGAAUCUCCUUCUAUCUCUUGCGAUUUUUCGCUGUUGAGUUCGAAUUGUCUAGAAUCAAGUACCCUAGAGGUUGGAUAAAUACAGUUGUAGUCUUGGCUCUUAUAGAUCCUAGUAUAAUUUUAUUUAGUCCAAGGCUCAGUAUCUUUACGAAGAAAGUAGGAAAAUAAAUCUGAGCUCUAAAUUGUGUGCUAAUAUUAGCUUCUGUUCUUUAGUAUAGAUAUUAUGUUGAAUAACUGGUCUUCGAAGAAUACUUGUGAAAUUGAAAUUAAGAAAGCGAUUGUACGUUUGGGUGUGACUCCUUCGAGAUUUUCUACGAUUCGAUUAUGAUUUUCAUAACUACAAUGAUAAUAUAAGCAAAGAUUAUCUAAAUGAAUGACCUGUUUAUUCAAUCUUCUGACUCGACCGAAUCUAAAAGUUAAUUAAUAGUGGCCAACCGAAAUAGUGAAAAUAGGUUUUGUGACUUCUUGAGAUUAUCUAAAUAUAGGAUGUUAUAAAUGCUUUGGUGAACUGAGCGUAUAAUCAUAGAUUGGACAGUAAUGAUUAUAAAUGUUUGGAGAGUUGGCAGCAGACUAUGCAUUACCCCAUAGGUUGGGUUUGUUAUGUUAGGGACACCUGCAGUCUAGGAAAUUUAAUGCUUGUCAGUGGCAUUCUAAACUCUAAAUGUUUGACUUAGAAGGAACUGCAAUAUAUUUGUUUCCAUUAUUACGGCUUGACACCCGCCUACAGCCCAUUCUUGUGAAUAUUGGGAAAUAAUGUAGAGCUAUGUGCCGAGGCGCACGAACUACCGAUCGCUUGAUCCUGUUGAGGUACGUAGGCACAGUCUAAGAGAGGCUCGUAGAAGUAUGCCACACAUAAAAGUAUAAGCAACAACAAACUUGGCAAAAUUAUUUACGUCCAAGUAGGUACACUGAAAUAUCCAUUGAUUUAUUGUUAAUGUAGCCAUAUCGAAAUAAAAGGUCAACUUAGAGAGUAUAAGCGAUUCAAGAAUUGAAUUAACGAAGCAAUUAGAGUUUGACCUUUGAGUCAAGCCGUAUCCGAUCUGUCUCGAGAUGCUCAAAUGUCUGGGAUCGCGGCGUGACCGAAGGUAGUCUGGUAUUGUGUGCCCCGGCCCCCAUCCCCGCAGUUCUCUGUAUCUGCUAAAAUCGCCAUUAUCGACGAUACCAGGAAAGACAGAUUGAAGCUUUGGUCGAAGCUCUCAAAAGCACGAAGACAUAAACAUAAGAAAUGUGAUAUCCACACAUUUUUUUUUAUUUUUCACACAUCUCUUAUUAAUUUCUAUCAUUUGAUCUUAUUCAAUUCAUUCGAUUUGACAACCGAAAAUUAAGAACGUAUGUGAGAAGUAAAAAAAAAUAUGUGGAUAGCACACCCCAAACUUGGAAUAGGAUCCUCUUUGGAUCUUCUUUAAGGGGAUUUGAAUGAUCAAUCAAUCGUGUCCAUUCAUUAUACUUUGUAUGAUUAUAAAUAGUACUUAACGUAAACUGAUCACACGAUAUACGAUAAAUAAACACGAUUGAUUGAUUUUUAAAUCCCCACAAAGAGAAUCUGAAUCCUUGUCCCCCAAACUUAAACUCAACUUAGUUGUCAACUCAUGUGAGCCCAUUAACCCUCUCUUCCCUACGCUACUGAUGUCAGUCAUCCGCCACUUGCUUAUUUGUUGUCAUUCUGAAUUAUGAUUGUAAACUAUGUUUAUUAGCACCUUAAUCUAAUUGUUGAUUGAAAAAGUUUAUUGGCCACUUGCUAACAUAGUCCUUAGGCCAUCUCCAACCGAAGGGUCCAGAAGGCCAGAGAGCCGAAAAUAGCCCUAAAACCGUCUCCAACCGAGGGCUAGGCCAGAGGGCUCGGGAAUCUGGAAGGGCCCCACGGGAUCGGAGAGGGCUGGAGGGCUGGAGGGCUGGCUGCUUUCGGCCAGCCAGCCAGCCUCGGGCUGGCUAUUUUUUUUUUAAUGUUUCUCAAUAUAUAUUAUUUCUGUCGGUUACAACCGACAGAAAUAACAAUUUGAAUUCAAACUUCCAACGGCUAGCGCCACUAGCCGUUGUAAAUCCUUUUUUUUUUUUUUUAUGAAUUUAAACCUUUUUUUUUCUUUUUUUUUCUAUAACUUCCUAUAACUUCUAUUUUACAAAAUUUGUUUCAAUUUUUUUUUUAAUUCUAUUUUUUUUCCUAUAACUUAUAUUUUACAAAAUUUGGUUCAUAUUUUUUUCAUAUAACUUCUAUUUUACAAAAUUUGUUUCAUAUUUUUUUUUAAAUUCCAUUUUUCCUAUAAACUUCUAUUUCACAAAAUUUGUUUCAUAUUUUUUUUAAAUUCUAUUUUUUUCCUAUAACUUCCUAAGCCAUUAUACAACAUUAAAUUAAAUUAAGUAACAUGAAACAACAUUAAACAAUAUGAAACAACAUUAAAUAACAUUAACCGACAUAAAAAUUAUAUAACACUAACCAACAUGAUUUUUAAAUAAAAUUAAGUUGUAGUUUUUAAAUAAUAAAUUAUGUUUGGCCCUAUGGCCCUUUGGCCCUCGGUUGGAGACGGAGGCAAAUAUGGUCAUGUACUGUUCAUUAAAAUAUUAAUAUCUUGAAGAAUCUUGGAGGGCCAGAGGGCUAAAACGAGCCCUCUGGCUAGCCAUCGGUUGGAGAUGGCCUUAGUUCACUUGCUGGCGUAGGUCUUUGUUCAGGCCCUUAAUUUAAAGGGAUUCCAAUUUUUUGAUAGGUGAUAAGGGAGAUUAAAUUUAGAGAUAAAAUUUUAAAAAAUAAAGAAAAUAGAAGUUGAUAAUUGGUUUAUUACUUAAAUGUAUGUAUUCAUUAUUAUUUGUGACACAUCAUUUAGUUUGAAAAUUUUGUUUUUAAAUUUAGUCUUCCUAGCAUUUUUUUUUUUGGAUAGAAAUGGGGACUAGUUGUCACAUCCUAGCCCGGGCCUCCACCACAUCCCGGGCUCGACUCUGCCGUAGCACGAUAUUAUCCGUUUUGGGCCCCGACCACGCCUUCACGAUUUUGUUUCUAGGAACUCACGAAAACUUCCUAGUGGGUCACCCAUCAUGAGAUUGCUCUCCAGCGAACUCGCUUAACUUCGGAGUUCCGAUGGAACCCGAAGCUAAUGAGCUCCCAAAAGGCCUCAUGCUAGGUAGAGAUGGGAAUAUACAUAUAAGGCUUACAUGAUCCACACCCCUGGGCGAUGUGAGAUGUUACACUAAUUGUGUGGCUCACUCCAUAUCGAACUUCAACAUUCAACCAUCUAUCUAAUUGUUUUUUUGUAAAGAUGGUCAAUGAAUGAAGACUUAUAAAAUAGGCAUAGUUCAAAUCGUUAAAGUUCAAAGUAAAAUGAGCCCUACAAAUAGUCUAAUUUUUUUAUAAAAAAAAAUAUAAAUCACAUUGGAUAAAGACUUUGGGUCUUUGUUUAUGGUUAUUAGUUGCUUGGUGACGAGCGAUUUUUUAGUAUGUUCGGAACACAGGCGCAAACGCCGUAUAUUAUUAAACAAGUAAAGGGACAUUUGAAAUUAGAAAAUACAUAAGAAAAAUGAGUUAUGAAUAAAGGUGGCUGGAAGGAAGGGACAAAGAAGAUUGAAAAUUAAUCUAAACGGGUUUCAAUUAUUUUUAUAGAAUAGAUACUAGUUGUGGGGUUCAGUCCACAUCAAAUUUCAACAUUCAAACCAUCUAUUUUUCAAAUUGCAUUUUAUAGAUCAUCCUUACAAAAUAUUAGUCAAAUCAAAAAUAUUUUAGGUAUCUAAUUGAUUUUUUGUUAGAAUGAUCUAUAAAUGAAGACUUAAAAAAUAGACAUGGUUCGAAUCGUUACAAUUCGAAGUAGAGUGAGCCCCAUAAUUAGUACAAAUUUUUAUAAAUAAAAAAAAUCGCUUUGGAUAAAGGCUCUGGGUCUUUGUGUAUGGUUAUUAGUCGCUUGCUGACUAGAGAUUUUUUAGUGUGUUAGGAACAUGAGCACAAACGCCUGUUAUUAAACAAGCGGAGGGACACUUGAAAUAAAAAUCUUCUCUCUACUUGUAUAAUGACAAAUGAUAUACCACCUCAUAUUUCAGGCACACUGAAAAAUAUAUCCUGGAUGUGAUAGGUGAUAGAUCUUUGUUUAUGUUUAUUAGCCACAAGGUGAGAUAGGUGAAAGUUCUUUGUUUAUGCUUGUCAGCCAUUUGCUGGCAUAGGUCUUAGUUUAUUAGCAAUCUUAAUUGUUGAUUGAAAAUGUUAACAUGAUUGUAAACUAUCUAAUUUGUUUUAUAUGUUGUAGUUUUUAUAUAUUUUUUUUGCUUUUGAAAUUAAAAAAAAUACAUAAGAAAAAUGAGUUAUGAAAAGAGGUGGGGGAAAAGAAGGGACAAAGAAGUUUGAAAAUUAAUCCAAUAAUUUGUAAAAGUCAAACCAUCUUUGCAAUAAAGAAAGCUUAAUUUAGUACAAUUUGGUAAAUUGAGAGAGCUUAAAACAAGGGAGAGAGAGAGAUAGAAACAGAGAUAUCUGGCAAGACGGAAAAAGUCCACAAAAGUGACAAAAUCAAGAAACGAUUAUACAAAGUCGACAACAUCUUUGUUCAAUGAUGCAUCCAAAUGAUGUAAUCAAGAAACAACAAUACAGGAGUUAAGAAAUAUUAAAGAGUGAAAAACGAACUGUUUAAAUUAUAUUUUAAAUGAACACUUUAUUUCUGUUGGUUCGUACUAAUAUUAAGGGCGAUUCUAAGAUAACUUUUUAGUCGUUUUAUUUCAAUUUUGACUAAAAAAUAGAAAGCAAGACUGAAACACGCUUCAAGCACGUUCCUAUUGAUCGCCUGCAUCCCUUUGGGCCUAUUAAGGUUGGAAAUGAACCAGCAAUGACAAAUUCAAUUUAAGGAUUAAAGAGUUAGUAUUUCAAAGGUAAUGGUAGGAAGAUUAAAUUUGUAGACAAAAUUUUAGAAACUAAAUAACAUGAAAGUUGAUGAUUGAUUUAUUACUUAAACGUUGAUAAACGCUCGUUACUAUUGGUGACACAUAAUUUAGUUUGUAAAUUUUGUCUCUCUAACUUUACCCUUUUUCAAAAUUUCCUUAAAUUUAAAAUAUUUAAAACAACGUCGUUUUAAGAAAAUUCGGUUCGAUUUCCAGAUCUGUGUUGGCUUUUGAAUUUGUAGGAUGCCUCGGUAACGGGAUGCCUGUCAUCCGCGGCUUGCUCACUUGUUGGGAUUGAAAACUAUGUUUAUUAGCAACCUUAAUUGUUGCUUAAAAUUGUUUAUUAGCCACUUGCUCACGUAGGUCUUAGCUUGCUGGCUGACUAGGUCUUAGCUUAUUAGCCACUUGUUGACGGAACUGGAUCCUCUCCGAGGCAAACCCUCGGGAUCCUGCUGAGCGACAAACAAGGGCCGUUGAAUUUAGAUCUAACAGCUACAAACAUGGGACUCAUCUUAAAGUUAUAAUAAUUGUAGCCGUUGGAUCUAAAUCCAAUGGUCAAUGUUUGUCGCUCAGCAGGAUCCCGAGGGUUUGCCUCGGAGGGGAUCCAGUUCCCCUGUUGACAUAUAGGUCUUUGUUUAUUAGCCACUUGUUUAUGUUCAUUAGCUUGCUGACAUGGGCGAUAAGUGUUUGUUUAUGUUUAUUAGCCACUUGCUGAUAUAGGUCUUAGUUUAUUAGCAACCUUAAUUGUUGCUUGAAAAUGUUAACAUGAUUGAACUAUGUAAUUUGUUUUAUUUUUAUUUUUUACAGGUCUUAGUUUAUUAGUACAACUUGGUAAAUUUCUUUCAAGUCAAUUUUAGAGAACGUGGACUACUGCAUCUAUAUAUCUACUUAAAAUUGACAUUUGAGUUAUAGAAAUUUGAGACCUCAAAUUUGGUUUUCCAAUUGGAUUUGCUACUUUGUCUGCAAAAUUCUAAAGUUCUAGCUCCAAGAUUCAGUUUCUAUUUUCUGCCGAAAAAAGAAAAGUAAGUUUGAGUAAUUCUUUUUUUUGUUUUUUUUCUUUUUUAUCAAAAUGUGUGUCAGCAGGAGUUCUAUGAUUGUUUUUUUGGUGCAACCGGAAUGCCGAAACACUUAUGACAAUCAGAUUUGAUGAACGAUCAACAAAUUUCAAUCGCUAGACCAAAUCCGAGGCAUAAGUGCUCCGACACAGUGUCUUGAGAAAUUUCAGUUGUUUUGAGGACAACUACUAAUUAUAUUUGUUGUGUUUGUCCAGUAAUUCUAUUUCAAAUCCAAAAGCCAUGCCGCCUGAAGAUAAAUUAAGUUGCAUCUGGAGAAAAAAUCAUACUGAAGUGUCUUUCUAUCGAAAGUACUGGUGGAAUAAUAUAUUCAUUGCAUCGUGCUUGUGUUCCCUUUUUGUGGAUCCAUUAUUCCUCUACGUUCCUAUUCUUAAGGAUGAUUUCAAGUGCCUUAUGUUAGACCCAAAGUUGAAGAUAAUCGUUCUUCUUUUAAGAUCACUCACAGAUUUUUUCUAUUUAAUGGACAUUAUUAUUCGAAUUUAUAGAUCUGAUUCGGGUUCAAUCGUGAACCGCGGACAACACCGGAUGGAUUUUAGUUUUGUACUGAAAUCUUGUGUCCCAAGAAUAGUCAAGACAAUAUGGGCGUCAAAUGAUAUCAUAAUUGACAUUGUAGCUCUUCUUCCUUUUCCACAGGUAAGAAAUUAAUUCCCUUUGUUGGAGUAAUUGUUUUUCUUAUUUGCUUAGUGUGCGGGCCAAAGCGAAUAUUUUCGUGUUAAAUACACAAAACUGACACACUAUGUAAUAACAUUUGGAUGUCACAUAUAUUUUUCUAGAGAAAUUGUUAAUUUUGUGUUUUAGACAACGUUGUUAUUGAUCUAUCGAUUUUCACUGUUGGUACCCAGGUGGCAGUUUUUAUUUUCUUCUCAAAAAUGUGUGACUUGAGAUCUUUGACUCCAAUAAGGAUGGUUCUUACGAACGUUUUUGCUGUGUUGCAAUAUGUGCCACGAGUUCUUCGCAUCUACCUCUCAUCUAAUGAACUUAAAAAGAAUCUUGAAAAAGAUGUUACAAAGACUCCCAUAUGGAUUAAAGGUGUACUCAAUUUCUGUAUGUACACUAUUGCUAGUCAUGUAAGUUUCAAUUUAUAUCCUUAUUUAUUUUUGUUUGUCAAAUCAAUUCUUAUUAUCCUUGUCUUAAUUAUUAGAAGGAGCAUGAAAUGACCAUUUUGAAAUAACAAUAACAUCUAAAAUAUUAAUGAUGUUGUAUAUUUCCUCCACUUUUACUGUUUGUUUGUUGAUUUUUCAGGUAAUCGGAGCUUUGUGGUAUUUUUUUGCUAUUCAACGAAUGAUGAUUUGUUGGCAUUUUGCAUGUCGAAAAGAUGAUGGAUGUGAUAACAGAAUUUUUGGUUGUCAUGAUCACCAUGCAUUUAGAAAUACCACAAUUCUAAAUGAUUUAUGUCCUGUCAAUGUCAGUGUCAAUUCAUCAGACACAAUGCUCUUCGAUUUUGGUAUAUUUGCUACUGUGCUUCAAUAUGGUAUUGUAGGAUCAACCAAUUAUUUCAAAAAGCUCUUGAACUGUUUCUGGUGGGGUUUACGAAAUUUAAGGUUUGUACAUUUUUAUAUUUGUUUGUUAGGAAAUUUAGGUUUAAUGCUCUUUUUAAGAUCUUUGAUUUAUUUGCUAUUUACAUUCAUUUUUCCUGUUGAAAGUAUGAAUCUCUCAUUGAAAGAUUAAAGCAUUACUUCUACGAAAUAGAGUCGAGCAUAAGGACUCGGAGAAAUAAAAAAUCAAGUUGAGACUAAAAUAUUAUCUUGGUUAAAUUUUAGGAAGAAUGAACCAUAGAACCAAAUAAGCCCUUUGAAAAAUGGUUGUAAAUUUGUGAGUUUAUAACUUGAAACUGGUUAUCACAUAUAUUGAUCCAUUAAUUUGAUUUUCGCAGUUCCCUUGGUUCAAAUCUUCAGCCCAGUGCAGAUGGAUGGGAGAACCUGUAUACGAUUUUUAUUUCUAUAACUGGCUUGCUCCUGUUUUUAUAUCUGAUUGGAAAUUUGCAGGUUUGUUUAUAAAACUUUUCUUACACUUAUCAUUUAGUGCUAGUUAAUCACUCCAACUAACAUAAACUUGAUCAGUGAAGAUUUUCAUAUCCAUUAAAUUCACUCUAAUUAACCUUAUAUGUUAAGUAUUCUUGAAUACUUAUAUGUCAAGAAUGAUUUUUUUUCCUGACUAAAUUUGAACGCCAUUUAUAAGAAAUUUUUACAUGUAACAGAAAAACUUGUCACAUAACGUAUUAUUCUACGUGUUAUCAUAAGUAGAUGACAUAGAUGAUAUUCCCAUUUUAGGAUAUAAAUAAAAAAACAAAUUUGCGUGUCACCAUGUGACCGUUUUCUAGUUCUAGCUACAUAGAAAUUUUUGGUCAUGUAUGUUAGAUUUUAAUUGUGGUCCUUUGAUUAGGUGCAUUAUUAUGCAAUUUAGUGUAUAGGUAUAAUAAGAUACCUACAUAUGUUCAUGAUAUUGUAUUCCAUCAAAAUAAUAGAUUCAAAAGCAGCUAGCUUUUUCAAACCUCUUGUAACUCAAGAAAAUGGACAAACCAACUCACUCGAAUUAUUUUUGAGCUCAGAUCUUCUGCACCCAAAUUUGUCUAUAGCUUUUCAGCGACUUAAUCAGCUUUUGACACGUUUCCACAACUAAUUCAAUUUCAAACGGCGUAAACUUUGCGGGAAAAAUAUAUAGAAAAGGACGAAGAACCCGGAAUCCUCAAUCUCCCACCCACAGAUGUGAUUGAUGCGCUGGGCGACGUUCUUUUGUUCGAGCGGCGCCGGGCCCAAACGGAUCGACUCGGCAUCGGCUGGAGACGCCGCAACGCGGUCCCGACGCAAGAUGGUGGGGGCGGAGGUUGGACCAGGAUGUUCUAUUAUACGCCGCAUCACGGAUCGUCUUAUCAUGCGCACCAGUACCAUCAUAGUUUGGCGCCAUACCACCUGACUGUCUACGUGCAGCAGGUAUCCUCUUAAUUUUUUUUUGCUCUCACCCAGAUGUGGUUGAUGCACUGGGUGUUGGGGUUACCCUGCACUUGCAAGUGCAAGACGGAUCGAUCGAAGGGAGACGUCAAGUUAAUUGUCGGAGGACUGUCGAUUCAGGCCGUGGACGUCGUAGCCUUUAUCGGGGGACCUUGUGUUGCUCCAGAGGAUCAGUGGCGCAGCCGUUGGGGGGUUUGUGGAUUCUGAUCUGGCGGUGUCUGUUGCUACCGUGGAGUGGGUGUGGCGGAAUCAGGGUUCUCGAAGGAGACGACGGGAUUUUUUCCCACACCAUUCUUCUUCUAAUGGGCGUCUCUGAUUCUUUUACGGUUUUUUUCCUUCGAAGCCGUUUAUUAUCAUUCAACUGAGUUGAGUUCAAUUGGAUUAAUAGUAUUUCAACCUACCCAAUUCAUUUAUAGAACAGGUGGUCGAUUUUGUACCCAAAAAUAAGUGUUUAAUGUUUCGAACCCAACCCAUAUCAUUUGAGUUUGUCGGUUUAGUCGGUAGACCCACCAAAUGGCCACCCCAACUUGCUAGUAUUUAUGUCUUUUUCUUAUUUAUUUGUCCUUUUUUGGUUACAAUAGUAGUAUUUCCUUUUCUUUUCUUUUUUCUCUUUUUUUUUUUUUUUUUUUUUGUAAUAUAGAAAAAAAGAUUAAACUCAAAAUCAAAUAUAAUGAUGACAUUCAGCUUCAUUUGAAAAAAAAAAAAAAAAAAUCUUAUCCAAAUGUUGAUAAUCUAAUUCUUAUCGAUCUCUUACUUGUUGAAUAGACAUAUAUGCAACUUGAGUCUACAAGAACAGAGAAUCACAUGCAAUUGAGACAGAAGAUGAAAGGAAAAGAUGACGAAAUAGAAUUGUGGUUAUUCAAAAAGGGCAUUCCCACCAGGUUGAUUAAGGAUUUCAAGUUGCAGAUUUUGGAAAAGGUAAAACAAGCAGCUCAAGAGGAUACGGAUACUAAUUUGGAUAAUAUUCUCCCUCUUCUUCCUUCGGAAGUUCAAAGCCACAUAAAAGAGCCUUUUGACAAGUUGAAGCAAGUAAUUACUCACCUUGAUAAUCAUAUAAAAGGAGGAUUGUAUCUCUUUAUCUUUUUAAUAAGAAUUUAAUUAAGUCUUCCUAUGGGUUUUCUUGCUUUCUCUCUGAUAGUUUACCAACAUGAAUUCCAGGUGCCAAUGCUUCGAGAGAUAGAUGAAGAUGUGUUGAAAAUAAUCUGUCAGGAACUCGAGCCCGUGAGGUAUACUGAGAACGACGAUAUUAUUCAAAAGGAUAAACCACUUGCCAAGAUUCUCUUCAUUGUAGACGGAGAUGUAUCCAUUGAAGAGGGAUCUUCUGAUGAUUCAAAACGAGGUGCAGGACAAUUAUGUGGAGAAGAACUUCUACGUUGGCCAUUCUACUCUUACUUCCCUGACAAAACACCGUUGGCAACUAAAUCUGUCAAGGCAAUUGGUGUUGUUGAAGCCCUUGCUCUCAACGCACAGGACUUGCAAAGUGUAAGCUCUUAAUCAAAUGCACAUUUCCCAUAUUACAAUUGAGCAUCCAUAGUAAAAUUAAUUGGGAUAAGAGAGAGAUCCAAGAAGUACCUUUACUUAAACUGUCGGAUAAGACUUUCAUGUUUUCAAUGCAACCCUUCACGUGCAGGGCCAUGUAAGCCUAAUGUGUGGAGUGAACAACAAAUAUUGAGUGACACAAAGCACGUAGAUAGCCUCAUCUAACACCAUAUUAAAAUUGAGCAUCCAUCUUAGUUAAAACCAUUGGCAAUAGAAGGGAGAGGGUCCAAAAUUAUUUAAAUUAUUAGGCAAAAUUUUAGUUACUCUGACAACUUCAGUAAGCCUAUAAGCUAUAAGAAACUCUAACAACCUCAAUUUGAUUGUAAUUUAGCUAAAUUUUCGUUUACUUGAACUAAUGAACUCUAACAACCUUUUUGUUGUUGUGGAUUAAUAGAAAUAUGAUCAAUCAGACAUUGCAAUAAAAGAGACGUCUAGACAAAGAGGAAUGAUGAAAAAGGAGAUGGAAACAAAUAUAGAUGGGUUGAUACAUAGAAAAGAAAUUCCUGAAUGGUUUAAUCAAAGUGUAAAGUCACGGAUCAUGGAAAAAAUAGAAGAACAAGUUCAAAAUAAUGCUCUUUAUUGGGAUAAGCUUGAUUGGGAUUGGGAUCAUCUCGUUUCUCAUCUUCCCCUGGAUUUUCAAAACGAGAUCAAAAGGUGUAUGGCAUUGACUAAGUUGAAGAAGGUAAAGUUUCUUCAAAUCCAUGAAUCCACGGCUUUUAUUUUGAACAGAGAAUUUGAGGCAUUUAUUUAUUUAUAGCUCUCUUCCCAAUAUUUCAUGCAUGCGCAUGUGAUAUUACAACUCCCAUGCAUUUAAAUACAGCAUAACUAACGUAUACUAUACCAACCCCAACCUAGGGCCUAGGCUACAUAACAAUCUAGUCCCUGCCCAUGAUAAGGUGGAGCGUAAGUACAUGAGACAGAAAAAAAAACAAACAAAAGAAAAAAUUAAGAUGUCAAAUAGAAGAAUUCGCCUGCCAAUAAAGACUAUCAACUUAGAACUUUCUAACCCUACCCUUUCACACCAAUAAAUUUUAAAAGGAAAACCAUCCAUUUGGAUACUUUUGUAUAUUACUUGAAGCAUGUGAACAUUCAUAGUUAUAAGGGUUUUUAUUACAAAUGGUCCUUAAAAUUGACCCACCCAAUCAAGAUGAUCCUUGAAAUUGGAUGUCGCAAAUCAAUGUAGUCCUUGAAAUUGAACUUUCUAACCCCUACCCUUCCGUCACAACUUUGUUAAAAAUUAUGUUAUGUGCUGAUGUGGCACAUAAUUGGGUUCCAUAAUAUAAUAAAAUAUUGUCAGGUAGAUAAAAAAUAUUUAAAUAAUAAUUAAAAAACCUAUGCUAUAAAAAUGGUAAUUAACUAAAAUCAGGAAAAAAAAUGCUAUAAAAAAGUGAGUGGUAGAAAUAGAAAAACGUGAUACUUAUAGGGUUGCAAUAAUGUCACUGAUAGCAAAAGGAUUAUCUUUUGGAUAAUCUUUGGAUACUGAACAGUCGGCAUCGAAAAUUUACUGACCUCUAAUAAAACAAAGACACCUGUCCAUUUUCAAGUCUCCAUUCACACAACCAAACACCCUGGUUUUGUAUACCAAACAUCCUUCUUCUACCUUUCUCUGCCCACAGUCCCCUUCAGAAAUGCAAAAACAUUACAAAUUCUUUCACGAAAGCUAUUAUCCACUCUCUGGAUUGAUGACGAUAGGUCGCAAUCAUCGUCGUCGGCCAUAACGGAGGAUGACAAUCACAUUCGUUGUAGAAGAAAUGGAUGGGGUGGGUGGCAGAAAAGAGGGAUUGGGGUCAUCGGAGAAGAGAGGGUUUGCAACUAGGGAUGGGCAAAUACCCAUCGAUUAUGGGUAACCGCGGUUACCCGCUCAUUUAAAUUUCACGGUUACGAUUAUGGGUAACCGUUUAGAUAAAUAAACGGUUAUGGGUAUAACCAUUUACCCGCGAAAUUUAAAUGGGCGGUUAUGAGUAUUAACCGCGAUUAUAAACGGGUAACCAUUUACUCAUUUAUUUUAUAUAUGUAAAAUUAACACAAAUUAUGUUCCCUAUCAGACAAAACUUAGAUCAAUGCUAUUGACUAUAGUGCAUGAUUUCUAUAGCUAAUAUAAUAUAACUUUCCUUAACCACUUUAAAUUUCAUGGUCGAUUAUAUAUAUUAUGUUAAUAUUUUACAUUCCGAGUUAAAUAACCCAAGAAUAUUGUCUUUUAACAGUUUUCGUAACCCAAGAAUACUUAGCAAAUUUUAUAUUACCUUCAUUGCUAACAGUUAAAAAUAUCGUCUGUAAAAUAUUAUUUCAAUUGUUGGAAUGGUAUAAGUAAGGACUUAAAAAAUUAAAAUACCGAAAUAUAUGAUGAAUGUACCUAUAACAGUGUUUAAUUGUUAGAAAAAGAAAAUUAUGACAAAUUUUCCUUUUUUAAUUUUCAAGUUGUUAAAAAAACACGUAGAUGGGUGAAAAAGGAGUAAAUGGUAAAAAAGAUAGGAUAAACGGGUUUAAAAAUGAUAAAUGGGUAAACGGAUACUAAACGGUUACGGUUAAGUGGAUACACGAUUAUGGGUAUGGUUAACCGUUUAUAAACGGUUAUAUGUAUGGGUAUAACCGUUUAGACAAUUACCCAACGGGUAAAUAGUUAUGUGGGUAUGAGAAUAAACGGUUAUGGAUAAAUAAUCGCAAUUAUCCGUUUGCCAUAACCGUUGUCCAUCCCUAAUUGCGACUUGUGAGUGGGUUGCCGGAGAAUAGAGCGAAUUCAGUGUUCGAUGAGGGUUUGGUUGUGUGUUUAGAGACUAGAAAAUGGACAGUUGUCUUUAUUGUAUUGGACUACUAGAGGUCAGUAAAUUUUGAUAUUGAACACGCCGUACCCAAGUAUUAUUAAGAAUUUAAGUCAUUGUUGAGGAUUGUAUCUCUUUUAUCUUUUUAAUGAGAAUUUCUUCCUAUGAAUUCCAGGUGCCAAUGCUUCGACGGAUAGAUGAAGAUGUGUUGAAAAUAAUCUGUCAGAAACUCGAGCCUGUGAGGUAUACUGAUAACAACUUGAUUAUUCAAAAGGGUGAACAACUGGACAAGAUGGUCUACAUUGAAGACGGAUUUGUAUCCAUUGAAGAGAGAUCUUCUAAUAAUUUGAGACUAGGUGCAGGGGAAUUCUGUGGACAAGAACUUCUACGUUGGCCUUUCUCCACUGACUUCCCUAACAGAAAACCGUUGGCAACUGAAUCUGUCAAGGCAAUUGGUGUUGUUGAAGCCCUUGCUCUCAACGCACAGGACUUGCUAAGUGUAAGCUCUUAAUCAAAUGCACAUUUCCCUUAUUACAAUUGAGCAUCCAUAGUAAAAUUAAUUGGGAUAAGAGAGAGAUCAAAGAAUUACCAGUAUUUAAACUAUCAAACAAGACUUUCAUGCUUUCAACCAAAUCCUUCACGUGCGGGGUCAUUUAAGCCUAUUGCGUGGAGUAAACAAAACAUAUUGAGUGAUGCAUAGCACGUAUAUAGUCUCUCCUAAUACCAUAUUAAAAUUGAGCAUCAAUCUUAGCUAAAACCAUUGGGAAUAGGAGGGUGAGGGUCCAAAAUUAUUUAAAUUAUUAGGCAAAAUUUUAUUUCCCUAAUAUGAGAUUCAUACAGUCUGACAACUUCAAUAAGCCUAUAAGAAACUCUUAACAACCUCAAUUUGAUUGUAAUUUGGCUAUAUAUUCUUUUACUGUAAGUAACGAUCUCUAACGACCUUUUUGUUGUUGUGGAUUAAUAGAUGUAUCUUGAGUCAAACAUUAAAGGAAAAGAGGAGCCUAGACACAGAAGAAUGAUGAAAGAGGAGAUUGAGCGAAAUAUAGAUGGAUUGAUACGUAGAAAUGGGAUUCCUGAAAGGUUAAAUCAUAAUGUAAAGUCACGGAUCAUGGAAAAUGUAGAAGAAAAUUUUCAACAAUAUGAUCAUUAUUGGGAUUUGCUCGAUUGGGAUCACCUCGUUCCUGGUCUUCCCUUGGAUUUUCAAAAAGAGAUCAUAAGUUACAUGCCAUUGACAAAGUUGAAGCAGGUAAGGUUUCUUCAAAUCCAUGAAUCCAUGGCUUUAAUUUUGAACAUAGAGUUUGAGGCAUUUAUUUAUUUAUAGCUCUCAUCCCAAUAUCCCAUGCAUGCGCAUGUGAUAUUAUAGCUCCCGGGCAUUUAAAUACAGCAUAACGAACAUAUACUAUACCAAUCCCAACCUAGGGCCUAGGCUACAUAACAAUCUAGCUCUUGCCCAUGAUAAGGUGGAGCAUAAGUACAUGAGACAGAAAAAAACAAACAAAAGAAAAAAAAAGCUGUCAAAUAGAAGAGUUCGCGGGCCAGUAAAGACCAUCCACUUGGUACUUUCUAAUCCUUGUCUUUCACACCAAUAAAUUUUGGAAUGUGCUAUCUACACAUCUUAUUUUACUUCUCACACACUCUUUGAUAAUUUAUGUCCAUUGAUCUUCUUCAAUUCAUCCAAUCCGACGGCCGAAAAUUAAAAAGGGGUGUGAAGUAAAAUGGGGUUUGUGGAUAUUACAUCCCUAAAUUUUAAAAGGAAAACCAUCCACUUGGAUACUUUUUUAUAUUACUUGAAGCAUGUGAACAUUUGUAGUUAUAAUCAUCCGAAUAACCCAACAAUGGUAAUUAACUAAAACCAGAAAGAAAAGAAAAAUUAAAAAUAUGCUAUAAAAAAGUGAGUGGUAGAAACAGAAAAACGUGAUACUUAUGGGGUUGCAAUAAUGUCAUUGAUAGCAAAAAAAUAAAAUAAAAGAGUCAUUAAUGACGUUUUUAUUGUCACAAUUCAUUUAAGAAAAAUACUAUGAGGUGAUUUAAAAAAACAAUCAUUAACCGUCGUAUUUUAUGAUCUACAAAGUAUAAUUUAAAUAGAUCUAAAGCCACAAUACAUCAUUGCAACCGAGCAACAAUCACCUUUCACAUUUACAUGGCCACCUUUUCUUGUAGUGAGCAAACACAAGAACGGUCCCAGGGCUGCAGAUUUUAAUUAUAUUUUAAUAAAAACGUUGGAGAUUAAUGAUGGAUGGAAAGUUUUUAAAAUUCAUGAGUUAGUUAUAGCUAUAUAAUUAUGUAUUAGAUUUUUUUAAUAUGUCAAUUAAGUUACUUACAUGUUAUAAAAUGUAGAUGCCAGCAUUCCAGUACAUGAAUGAUGAAGUGAUGAAAGAAAUUUGUAGCCAUCUUCGGCCCAUGAAGUAUAAUCGUACCGAUAACAUUAUUGAUAAGGGUAACCCAAUUCAAAUGUUGUUGAUUGUGGAAGGAAGCAUAGGCCAAGAAGGUUGGGUAAAAGAUGCAGGAGAAAUCUAUGGAGAAGAACUUCUGGUUUGGCCAUUCUCGACCUCUUUCCCUAACAAAGUACCUACAGCAGCUGAGUCUCCUUUUGUAAGUACGGAUGUUGUUGAAGCCCUUGUUCUGACGGCCAGUGACAUGGAGAGUGUAGCCACUAAAUUCCGGAAACAUUUCAUAAAAAAUUACGGCAAAUUCGUACGCAUGGAGAGUGCAUUCCCUUACGACUAUUCUGAAGGGGAUAUUAAGAAGGCCACAACAAACUACACGUGUUUGAACAAUCCAAAUGAAGGAGGCUAUGGAACAGUCUACCACCCAGAAUUAAAUGGAAGAUCUGUUGCCAUAAAAACGUGCAACAGUACUACUGGUGACCCGUUCAUCCAGAGUCAACGUCUGGUUCAUGAGGCAUUUGUUCUUUCUCAAAUCGAUCACGAAAAUGUGGAGAAGCUGUUAGGUUGUUGUUUAGAGACAACAUGGCCUAUAAUGGUUUAUGACCGCACCAAUGCUUUGACUUUUGUUGAGCACUUUCACAGAAACAAAUCAAAACUCUCGUUGGAAUCACGAAUGACGAUAGCAGCGGAAACUGCAGGAGCUCUAGCACACAUGCACUCCAGCUCAGUCAUACACCGAGAUGUGAAGACAGCGAAUAUAUUAAUAGAUCAUACAACUCACACUGUACAAGUUACCGGUUUUGGAGCUUCACGAUUGCUUGAUGAAGAUGAAGGUGAAAUGGAAGAUCGAGUGUCAACUUUGCCAAGGACAUUGGGAUACUUAGACCCCGAGUAUCUUGAAUCACACAUGCUAACAAAGAAGAGCGACGUCUAUAGCUUCGGAGUUGUUCUAGUGGAGCUACUAACACGUCAAGAGUCAGUUUCUUCUAACGGGUCUGAAACAUCCCUAGCAAACGACUUUGUUCGUUCAGUGCAUGAGGAUCGCUUGGGCCAAAUUCUCGAUGGUGAAAUAAACACAGACAAGUUUAGUUAUGAGAUGGCCAAAAAAGUGAGCGAGCUUGCCGUGACAUGUUUGAGGUCAAGGGGAGAGGAAAGGCCUUCCAUGGAAAAAGUAGCUGAGGAGCUUGAGGGAGUAGUGCAAGCUAUUAUGAACAGGGUAGAGCAUUCUACGGUGGACGAUAAUAUAUCUUCCGCUUCUAGAACUUCCGAGUGAAGUAUUGAUGUGAACCCGUGCGGCUGGUUUCAGUUUGAGUCUGUGCUUGUGAAAUAAUUGACAAGUAAGAUGCAUUUGGUAGUUUGAGUAAACCGUGGAAUUUGGAAUUAGUAUCAAAUAUUGUAACCUUAUAUAUUUUUGCCCCUUUCAUUUAUCUUUGCACUUCUCUUGGCUCAAACCUGGAAUUAUCUAUUGGCCCCCACAGAAAUCCAUAACUCUAAAAAGAGAUGGCCGAAAUUCAGAACUAGAGAACCAUAAAUAGAAUCCACUAGAAAUUGUGUCUCGUUGUUGUAGGAUUGAAAAUGAGAUGCAACAAACGUAACUUCAUUUCAAUAGCAAAAAAGAAAACUGACAUUUGGUUCAAAAAUAUUAGAGGAAGUAUAGGUCGUAAUGUGUGACAUGCAAAGGUGCUACUAAUUCAAAUUUCCAACAUGCUCAGCAAAUUUCUAACUUUUCAGAAGUAAUUAAAUUGAAACUAAUAGAUGUUUCUUCUGCAUACUGAUUAUUGAAGAUUCGUUGAGAAGAAUGAAUCCGUAACUUACUUAGGUUUCAAAGUGGACUACACCAUCCAUUAAUCUAAACAGAACUGUCUCAGCAAAGCAAACAAUUUAAUCUCAUUCCUCUAGAAAUGGCAUGUUUUAUUACUUCACAAAGCUAAUUUCUUCCGAAAGAUUCAAAGCAAGUUGUUUUUAACAUUAAAAUACCACAACAUGAUUAACACAUUAAACAAACAGUUUCUCCAAUUACUAAACAGUUUUAUUAAUAUAGAUUAU